rnacentral:lncRNA from 1 species
GUAAAAUGUGGUAUGGCAAUUAUUUACGCAUGCGAAUCUACAACCGUUGAAAAUUUCUCAACAUAACAACUAUUCAUAUUUAAACAAGAUAUCAAAUAAAACUCGUUCGGUGUUAUAGACUCCAAGAACAAAGUUGGUAAAAGAAUUUUGAUAUCAUCCAAAACGUCGUAUGAUAAUUAUAUAUACACUUACAACCGUUAGAAAUUUACAUAGAAAAUAUUUGAGUAACAACUUUUCAAAUUUUAAACGAGAUACCAAAUAAGACUUGUUCAGUGUCAGAAAUUCUAAGAACAAACUUGGUAAAAGAACUGUGGUUAGACAAUUAUUUUCGCACGUGAAUUUACAACCGUUGAAAAUUUCUCUACAUAGAAAAUACUUAGGCAACAACUUUUUAAAAUUACUCUUAAACGAGAUACCAAAUAUUCGGAGACUUACCAACAUCGUUUUAAAUUUCAUUUUCUAUAGUACUACAACAGUAGCAACAAUAGACUCACCAUGUACCUAUCAUAAAUCCUUACUUUGUCCUACCACACCCUUACAAAUGAAGGGCACCAACCACAUUCUCCACACAGUAAAAACCAAGUCCAAGGAAAUGAGCAGCAAACCCAUCCACCCUGGUUUUGUAUUGGCAGUAUUGCACUGCUAUCAGAGUAAAAAAGUUGUUUACAAUACCUAGGAGGAGGGGUUAAAGUUAAACUCCUAGUUCAUUUACACUUGUGGUAAAAACAGAGAGUAAAGCAAAUCCAAGCAGUAGCAGCAGCAGAAGUCAUAAAAGCGGUUGGUCAAGACGAGUAUUCCACUCUCCACAAAACAAGGUAGAGUGUCGAAGCCAAGAGAGGGGAAAGCUCUAAACGACAUCGUUUGAGGUCUGAAACUUCGUCUGCCCAGCUAAGCUUGCGUUGGCAACAUCAUUGUCAUUGGCCCUGGGAGGCUCUUCAAUCUGGGACCUCUCUCUCUCUGUUUACUGUUUGAGAGCUUUGAUUCUCUGCAUGGCCAACACGUGUCCACCCCCUUAUGAACACGAACAAUUGGACCGAAAUGAACCCAACAUCUCGAUUCAACUUGCAGUAAAAACCUUUUCCUUCAUUCAACCUCUGUCUCUGUCUCUGUCUCUGUCUCUUUCUUUUCCUUCUCAGUUCAUCGGUCACUGUGAACUGAAAAGUCUCCUCUGAAUCUUUUACCACCUUAAAAACCAAAAGAGUAAAAGAUCCAUUCUCUUUUUCCCCAGGCUCUAUUUUCCCAAUUUAUUAAAGGUAACAAAUUAAUGGAAAACAAGAAGAAAAAUAAUUUAUUAAAGAUUUUCUCUUUUUUUCUUUGCAGCAAAAAAAUCCAGAGCCCUGAGUCAGAGAGCAAGCUGUCUACAAACCCCUUUUUUUUUUUGGUAUAAAUUGAUGUGUUUUUUAGGCUCUCUGCUAUUUACACACACCCCCCCCCUCUAUUAUGGUGCUUUGUCUCUCCUUUUUCUUCUGCAACAACAACUAAAACCCUUUUCUUUUCUCCAUCUCAUAUGUUCAAAUUGCUUUGAGAAAAAAGAACAAAGGGCUCUAUGUCAGGGUUGUAUAAUCCCAACUUCUCUCCUGCCAGAGCUGCCUCUCCUCAGAUUAGAACCACUCCAGAUGUUGACAGGUUUGUUUAUCACUGACUCUCUACUGUGUCUAUGUCUAUGUCUUACCACAACCCUAUUUUUAAUCCCUCAAAAAUUGAAGUCCCAACAAGAAAGAUGGAGUCUUGGGACUAAAGAUAGGUUCUUUUUUUGAUCUGCUAUGUGGGUUUUUGGUUUUGUAGUCAGUACUUGUCAGAGCUGUUAGCUGAGCAUCAAAAGCUUGGACCUUUCAUGCAAGUGCUUCCGAUAUGCAGCCGACUUUUGAAUCAAGGUUUGCUUCUGAAUCUCUUUGUGUUUUGGAUCUAGAUUUUUGUGGGGAUAGAGGGUUUUAUCCCCUUUUUGUCCCCGUGGCGGUGGUUUUGGUGUGGUAAGAAAUGUGGUUACUUGAAUUGACAGAUCGGUGUGAUUGAUUUUGACUGUUUUGGCACUUUGGUUUAGUGAUCGUGCAUUUCUCUUCACGUUUUAGAGUGGAGUAGUGUCUGCAUCACUGGUUUUUGCUGAUUUUAAAACUUUUAAUUCGGAGUUAGUGUGUUGUUGGUGAAGAAACCAGGAACUCUUUGGGUGCUGACUGUUCCAAUGGUUGUGAUUGGUUACAUUGAGGUGUAUUUGCCUUGAAGUUUUUUCCUCUCUUUGUGUUACACCUAUCAUGCUGGAGUCGUAAAUCUAUUUUGCAUAAAGCUGGAGUUGAUAAAAUGUAUUGAUCAUUUAAAGGUGUCUGAUAAAUGACCUAGCUGCAACAGAGGUUGGAAACUUUAGUAAAUAAGAAUCGGUGUGCAUUGUUGUGCUUGUACUGCAAUGCAAUUCUAUGUUGAACUGUCUGUCAAUUACUGAAAAUUAAUGAAAUAGGAGUUUAAAGUUAUAUAUCACACAGUACACUGCCAUGAACUGAUGAAAGCAAAAGGGUUGAUUGCCUUGUUUUCAUUGUGUAUAGGCUUCUUUUCUCAUCCUCUUUUAGCUCUGUUAAUUUUUCUACUGACCAACCUUCUUAUAUCACAUCCAUUGAUGUGUUAUUAUGUGGUGCAUUGCAGAAAUUAGCUUGACAGAUGUUGCCAUGAUUUUUUUUCUGGUUUCUACUUUUACAGUUAAUAUGCAUUGCAACUCAUUAGUAUUCUGUUUCAUAUCUUGUGUUUGGGUUUGCCUCUAGUAUGGUACUUUCCAGUAGUGUGAUCAGUUCCUCAUAUGAAAUGUUUCGUUGUUUGUGUGCAGAGAUUUUACGGGUUUCUGGAAUGAUGUCCAACCAAGGUUUCGGUGACUUCGAUAGAAUGCGGCAUAGAAGUCCUAGUCCAAUGGCUUCUUCAAACCUUAUAUCAAGUGUUACUGGAUCAGGAUUGGGUGGUUGGAAUGGAAUUCCUCAAGAGGUGAUUGUCUCUUAAAUAAGAAGAAGACAUCUCUGAAUUUUUUUGUUUUCAAUAUUUUAGAUGUUACUUGUGAAACCUCCUCCAUGCUUCACUCAAUACAUAUGGGCUAAGAGGUGAUGUGUUUCAUGCUCUCCUUCAGUCGAGUGUUGAAUACCUACUAUAUUAACUUUAGCAUAUAGUUCAAACUUAUUAGUUCUUUGACUUCUUUCACUCACGACUUAGUAAUGAAUGAAGGUAGGAAAAUGGUUGGGACCGUAGAACUGACCGACACUGCCUGUCAAUUAAUGCAAGAACCCCCUUCAGACUAGGAUACAGAACGUUGGGACUUACUUGAGUUUCGGUUUCGUUUUACUCAUUCUAUGGUCAGGAGGCAAUGCUAACCCCAAUUUUUAAUGUGAAUUUGGGUUUAGGCUUGUAUGCCAACAAACAUGACGUAUGAGAUGCAAAAAACAGUUCUUUCUACUUGAACCUGAACUGAAAAUGUCAAGGGAGAGGAGGUUCAGAAGUAGAUGCAUAUCAUUUUGCAUUGAAAAGUUGAUCUUGUUCUUGAAGAAAAUCUUGUAUUGACAUUUAGUAUUCCUUUCACCUGCAAUCAACUUAUAAUAUUUAGAUUAAAAAGGAAAUGCAUUUCUAACAAUUGAAUUUGACUUUGAAGCACCAUAUGAUGCCUACAGAAGUGAGAUGAUGUAUAAGUUCUCUGAGUGACAGUCCUAAUGUGUUAGACUGUGGUCUUUAUGACCCACAAAAUGAGCAGGAUCAUCUAUAUAUAUUGUAAACCAUGUCUCAUUCUGUUCCCAACCCUAGUUUCUAUUCCAUAUUUACUGCCUUUUCUUUUAUUUUGAUGUUGCAUGUCUAAGAUCGCUUUCAUUAUAGCAGAGAUUAAGUGCACCUCAUGGGAUGACAAUGGACUGGCAAGGUGGUGCACCUGCGAGCCCUAGUUCAUACACAGUGAAGAGGAUUUUACGCUUGGAAAUUCCUGUAGACACUUACCCCAACGUAAGUCUUUUGUACUAACAUUUCAAGUCUACUUUGAUUGAUUGGCUUGGCCAUCCCUUACUGUACGCAAUAAUGCCUAAUAAUUUUAUUUCUUUUGGGAGGUUAGUUCAAUUUUGUUGGGCGACUUCUUGGACCCAGAGGUAAUUCUCUGAAACGGGUUGAAGCUACUACAGGCUGUCGUGUAUACAUCAGAGGCAAAGGAUCUAUCAAGGAUCCAGACAAGGUAAAAACACACUGGUUAAUUCAUUUAAGACUGAUGCUAUUAGAUGUUGUAAAUUUUUUUUUUUAGUGUUGAUCGUUUGAUAUCAACUUUAGAAUGUUACUCAUUCCUUAAGGAAUAUGUUCAUCAAAUUUAAGACUUGGGUUCUCUUUUAUACACUUGACCAUUUCAUAUUUCUUCUAAUACCAAGGAGGACAAGCUAAGGGGAAGACCAGGCUAUGAACAUCUGAGCGAACCCCUGCACAUCUUGAUUGAAGCCGAUUUACCUGCCAGUGUUGUUGAUAUAAGGCUCAGACAGGCUCAAGAAAUUAUUGAAGAACUGCUCAAACCUGUGGUACUUAUCUCAAACAUAUUUUUCCCUCUUUCUACAUAAAUAUUAUGUGUUACUUUGGAGUGGCUAGUCCUUGCAUGUCCAUCCUAAAAAAUUUAUGUUCUGCACAUAUAUACUUGUUUAAGUCUAGCGAGUAAAUAAAAUUUCAAAUCUUUUAGUUAUGCUGCAUGAUAACUGUGCUGACUAGAAAAGUUAGGAACUUAGGAUCAGUUACGAAUGAAGGAUCAGUUGACCAUUAUGGUUGAGCUCAGUUGAGCCAAGCUUGGAUCUCUCCUUCCUCGAACAGGAUACUUGUUUACGGAUGCUAUUUUCUGAUGAUUGUUUACUUGUAUUUUAACUAUCAAGUUUUGACUUGGUUCGUCAUUUUAUUUUUGGAUAUAAACCUUUUAUUCGCAGGACGAGUCGCAAGAUUAUAUAAAGAGGCAGCAAUUGCGGGAGUUGGCUUUGAUAAAUUCAAAUUUCAGAGAAGAAAGUCCUGGGCCAAGUGGCAGUGUAUCUCCUUUCAAUUCAAGCGGAAUGAAACGUGCCAAAACAGGUCGAUGACUGCUUGUUCUAAAUGUUUGCUACUCAGUACUUGACCCUGUGAUCAUGUCUGAGAAUGCCUUGCAAUACACAUUUCCAUCAGCAUGGAUAUAAAAAAGAUAGACUAAAAGUUCUUGCUGGUGAGCUUUCUGGUGGUUUUUGUUUGUUUUGUUUUUCUCUCUUUUUGGAACUACAGACAGACAAAGACCCAAAGAACAAAAAAACCAAAAACCAAAAAAGAAAGGAAUUUAUAUAGUUGGCUCUUGAGCUUUAGGUUUGGUUAAGUCAGUUUUUUCUUUGUAAACUUAAUACAUUCAUUGGAUUUAUUCUUGUGUUUAGUUACUUCUGAGAAGUGUGAAGAUAUAUAUUAAUUGUGCAACCAUUUAGAGCUUAAGACAGUGAAUCGAGUUUUGUAGGUUUGUCGUAUGGCAUUUUUAUAAGUCGUGUAAACAGAGUCUGGAUUCUUUACAAUGUUUCUAUCUCAAUUAUUUAAAUCACCUCUUGGAGAUCUGCAAUGUUCUUGAAUUGAAUGAGGACUAAUCUAACAGUUGGCAUGGUGCCGACGCAAUGAGGCUGAUUAAUUUAACUCUAAUUGAGUUGAGUUUGCAUGAUUGCAUCGUUCUAAUUAUUAUUAUGCGACAAAGCCUUGUCAAAAGGAUUUCAGGUCCUCACGUCUAACCAUUCUAUGCCAGUAGGGACGCCAUUGACAGUUUGGUUUAGAUUCUGUGCUAUUUAAUCACAUACUUGACUUGCCUUUUGAUCCCAAAACAACAAAGUGGGAACAAAUUCUUUCUUGGUGUUAUUAGUUUUCAAUCUUCUGUAUAUGCUAGUAUUUUUGCUGUCUUCUGGUUUCACAUGGUGGCAUGGUUGGUAGGCAUCGUCUGUUGUCUUGUUUCGUAAAUGAAAAACAUGGUCUGCAGUGGAAUAGGGCGAAAUGUUAGACUAAAUAUAUAAUGUGUGUUUGUCCAUGUGACCUCAGAUUAUCAUGGAUUCUUGUAACACUAAAAACAAGAGGUUUGAUGGAAUCCAAUGUUGCGAUUUCUUUAGAUAUUAUACGAAUCAUAUUGAUUUCGGCCACCAGUAAAGGUAUAUGUGGGGAAUCAAUAUUAUACAUGUAGACCAGACUCAAGUAGGGUUUGAGGUAAGAUUAGGAUGGUGGUGAUCCUAUGUUCAUGAGGUGCCGCUGCAUUGGUUUAGCAUCUAAGUUCAUGAGGUGCCCCUGCAUUGGUACUCUAUGCUGGUACCGAUGCAGCGGUAACGAGACAUGUAGAUGUACAGAAGUGCCAAGUAUACACAAGGUAAAAAAGUGUGGCCGAAUAUGGUUCAAGUUUCGAAUGAGCUAAGCUAAAGAAUAUGGUUCAGUUUGCUUACUACUAGUUGCUUACUAUUUUCUUGAGCUUGGUACUUGUGUUAACCUAUCUGACUGAGCAUAACCGAUGUUUAUACAGCUGAUACGGGUUGAAAUGGAAUCGUAAACGAGCUGAUUUAGUCACAAUGGACUUCAUUAGACUAGGUACAGAACAAUUCUAGUGAGGAAAAGAUGGAGAAAAGAAAGUAGUAGCACGCCUUAACUAAGCUCAUAGAACUGAAAAAGUACAUUAUGCAGGUCACCCCUCUAUGAAAUACUAUUGAUCUUUAUAUAUCAGUUGCUAAUCUUUAUAUAUCUAGCAAUGUGAUAGUGUUACGCCAUCCUCUUCGAGCAAAAUAUCAUCUACAAGUUCCCAUAACAGGCUGGUGACCAUGAAGAAGUGCCAUAGAUCAGUGGCAAGGGAGGACAAAUGACCCCAUUACUCCUAUCAAGAUCCCAAUAUAAUGAGCACAGCCCCUAAUCCUUAUUCCUAUCAGUUCGUACCAAAUACUUCCUAGGGUGGUUUCUAGAUUGGGAAUGGUUCUUGUGCAGGUGCAACAAGGCAAAAGCACACUGCAGGAAAAGUAGUAAACUUCAUGGUAAUCGAUCACAGUCUCCAGGGUUAAUAUAUUACUUCACCAAUGGACCAACAUGUAUUAUCAGGCUUAAGGGAUGGAUUCCUCAAUGGGUUAGGACUUAGGAGACAUCACUCGAGAUCAAAUUAUUGUUUGCCAUUUCCACGUACUUCCUCAGUUAGAUUGGUCUAGUGCUAAACUGCUAACGAUCUGUGUUUUACAACUCACACUUUUCCAAUGCCUAACUGACACGACCCACCCCGAAUUUCACCCUGAAACCCGGAGUAAGUCGUGCGGGGACCACCUCCAAGGAAAAUUUACUGAAAAGAUUUAUAAAAAUCUCCCUUGAAAAUGGACAACCCUAACUCGAAAAUUCCAAAUUACACUCUUAAAACAAUACGUCCAAACAUCACAUAAUUAACCUUCAGAAAUUCUAAACACAGUACCAACAGGCCGAGCACACUACCGAAAUAAUAUACAACAAUCCCAAAGUAUCCAGAGCUACUAGACUCUAGCGGAAGCAAGAAAAUACGAGUAGGUUGAACAAGUAACCUACUGAUGAAAACUGGUAGAAAUGCGGGUGACUAUGCCUCGCCUCCUACUAGAUCCAACCCGAACUCUGCAGACUGGGCGAUUUAAAACGAAGGGCCCAGGGGAAAACAUUUAAUAACGUUAGAGUGAGUGGACAAAAAUAAAUUAAUAAAUAAAAUAUUUAUGUUUCCCCAAAUUAAUUUCUAAGGAAAAAUCGAAUGUAUGCCGCAAGCGAUAAAACUUUUAUCUCAUAAAAUAUCGAGCCUCUCAGACUCUAUAAUAUAUGUAUGUAUUUACACUCGUCCAUACUCCCAAUAUAAAUUCAUGGGUCUAUAUAGGGCUACUACGCUCGCGUCCAACGCUCACGUCACGCCUUAAUGCGGUGCUACACUACGCCAUUAAGGUGGACAGACGAGUGUAUAAAUAUGUGUCCAUACCCCCUAUGUGAAUUAAACACUCAUAUAGGGCUACUACGCUCACGUCCAACGCUCACGUCACACCAUAAUGCGGCUAUAUGUUACGCCAUUAAGGUGGACAGACACAUAUGGCUAGCUAGCAUUUUUUAUACAUACUCUCUCAUAAAUACAUAUUUAUAUCCACCGAAAAUCUCAUUUUUGGUAACUCUCCAAGAGAAAUAAAAUCGUCAAAAUAAAUGACGUCAAAAUAUUCCGUAACAUUAAUUGUUCAACCAUGAACUGUAGCAUGCAUUUAUUUAAAAUAAACGUCCACUCACAAAUUAGGCCUAAGCCUGAUGUCGAUCUGGGGCCUUGUCUACUCGAGCCUCCUCACGUCCUGUUCCAAAUAUAAUAUUAAUUUCCCAACUAACAAUCCAAUAUUUAAUCAAAAUAGGCAAAAUUACCCGAGAGCCAUAAAUAGGCUCAUCAUUGCCUAACUUCGAUAUUCUUAAAUAGAAACGAUCCGAACUUAAAUAUCAUACUCAACAGUCGUAAAUACAACCUCCCCAAAUACGACUUAAAUCUUACGGCCGGAUUCUACAUUAAUUAACCGCCAAAAAUACCAAACUUCAGAAAUUCACAAACCUAUCCAAAUCUCAUCCAAAAAUUCCAUAAAUCACAUCAAAAUAAUCCCCUUAAUAUUCUACAUUUAAAACCCUAAAAAUCUCCCAAACCGCGGCGGCUCCUCUGGCAGCGGCGGCCGGAGGCCGAUUCCGGCGAUCUCCAAAACCUAUGAAAUUUUGACAGCAUCUUCCUCUCAUCAUGCUCUACAACUUUCCUAACUAGCACAAACACCAAUUCCAAGCCUAACUAGGGUAAUCGACUAAAAACAUCCUAAAAGCCCUAGAAAUUUCAACUCCACAUUUCUCCUUACCUAGCUCAAGAGAGGGUGAGUCCUUUUAGGGCAAGGCUGCUGGGUUGGAGGGCUACAAAACCGUACCAAGCUUGCCAGGAUUGGUGGCCGGAGGAGGGAGUUCCAGCGAAAAGUUUCCCGGCGUCUCCGGCGAGUUUUCUCUUCUUCCGGCGGGCUAACGGCUCGGGGGCUAAGCCGGGGAGGGAGAGGAGGAGAUGGGGGUCCGAACUGGGGUGGAGCGGCGGCCGGUGGCUGGCCGGACGGCGGCAGACGUGGGCUGGGCGAUCCGGCANNNNNNNNNNNNNNNNNNNNGGGGGGGGGGGAGGGGAGAAAACGGGAGAGAAGAGAGGGAAAUGGGUUGGGCCUCUCCAACCGGUCUAACUCCCCAUUAUACCCAACUCCCACAAAAAUAAAACACCCCGAAAAAAUAAUACAUGAAUAAAAAUUACCUUUUACUAGCUAAAAUUUACCAUAUUUUACCGUCGUAGUAUUUUCCUCCUACGAAUAAUCCUCCGCACAUAAUCGUCCCCGAAACCCCUCUAGGGACCACUUAAACUAUUAACUCAAUGAUCGAGACGGUUAAAUUCUUAUUAUAAUCACGCUAGUAAAUAAGGUAAAAAUAUAAGGGUCGGGAUGUGACACUAACAUUGUCACUAAAUCAACAUCAGAGAACGUUGUGAAUUUAUAUGCACAUCAAAGGUAUCCGAAAUGUGAUGUAUUUAGAGAGCUGAUGUUGAAAGAACCAAAGCGACUUGGGAACCAAAGCGACUUGUGAACCAAAGCGACUUGGGAAAGGCAUCCAACUGAUGUAGAUACAACUCAUACAAGGCUUAGUAGGUAGCUAGAAAUGUAGAAAAAUGGUGUGAAAAAGAUAAAAACCGAUCAAAGUUCAAUCCAUUCGAAUGUAAACUCACAUAGAUGGAUCAAUGGUUGCUGCCCUGGAUCGCAGAAUUGCACAAGUAAAGCUGAUGCUGAAAGGACUAUAUACUCAUGUUGCGGAGUUUGCUGGGAAUUAAAUGGGUGCGUCCUUGUUUACAAUGAUGAUGUUCUUGUUGUGGCUUUUAUGGUAUGAUUGAAAUGAAUGCUUUGCCUAACCCUAGCAUUACCUUGAUAGUGCUAUCAUUGCCAAUGGUAGCCCAUUGCCAAUGGUAGCCCGUAUCAUCAUGUCUAUUUCACCCAAAAAGUUGGUAUGCUGACUAUUCUCCCAAUGAGGCACUAGGUUAUGAUUUCUCAAGGCCAUCAUAAAGGGGUAAAUCUCUAUCAAAAUGACUCUCGAGCAUAAGUUACCCGUAAGCUUUUGUAGCGUUAAUAACAUAAAAUAAUAAAAUUUACAACAUUUUCAAUCAAACACGUUGUUUUAUAGUGUUUCAGAGUAUUAAAACUGAACAACAAAAAAUUGUUAAAUUAUUUCAUUACGUGACUCACUGUUAAUAAUAAUUUAUCUAACGACUCACCCGUCUAAUGCUUUGGAGAGAUAACAUCACAAUUACUUUUCCGCGCCGUUUUUGGUAAACUCUAACUAGAAAUGGGUUAGUGACCUCAUUCACUGUAGGGCAUUGACCAAGUAAAUAAGCAGUCUGAUGCAAUUUCUUUUCUGGCCCAAAGAUUCCAACAACCUACUUCCACAAAUUCCGUCCAAGUUCAAAAACCACGUGUCACUCACACAAACCCAUUGCAUCCUAAUGCAAUCCCACACCCGCCGGUAACAAUAAAAUUCCCCCUCACCAUUUCUAGGUUUUCCGAUCUUUUCUGACACUAGACGACACUGAAGGCCGGCCUCCUUCAAUAUUCCUCUUCUGGGUUUUUGAACACCACCUUCGCUCUUUUCCUCUCCCAAUUCUCAUUUCUAGGGUUUCCCUCUAAAACCCAUCAAAUUCAGAUCAAACCCAAUGGCCGCCGCCGCCCAGCUCCGCUGUUCCACUCUCCCCAAACCCCACUCCUCUCUUUCCGACCACCGCCGCAACCCCACCACCAACCUCAAUUCCUCAAUCUCCUUCCCCUAUUCCAAAACCCUAAAUCAUAAAGCUCUCUCUUUUGGCCCGAAGCCGAAUCGGGACGGAAGGCCCGAUCUUUCGUUUUCCGGCGGGAAUGGUGCCGACCGAGGCGGCGCCGGCGGUGGAGGCGGAGGAGGUAGCGGCGAUUGGAGCCGAGGUGAUGAGAAUGAAGAAUCGAAACCCUCGAAAUCUUUGUUUGAGGGUUUUGGGCUUUUGGGGAUGUUUCUGAAUGGGUGGAGAUCGAGAGUCGCCGCCGAUCCUCAGUUUCCGUUCAAGGUUUUGAUGGAGGAGGUCGUCGGAGUGAGCUCCUGCGUCCUCGGCGACAUGGCUUCCCGACCCAAUUUCGGCCUCAACGAGCUCGAUUUCGUCUUCUCUACUCUCGUUGUCGGCUGCAUUCUAAACUUCACUCUCAUGUAUCUGCUGGCGCCGAGCUUGUCCGCCACCGCCGCCACUCUGCCGUCGAUCUUCGCCAGCUGCCCGGCGAGCCAUAUGUUCGAGCCGGGCUCUUUCGGGCUGAUGAGUCGUUUAGGGACGUUUGUCUACAAAGGAGCUGUCUUUGCAGGAGUUGGAUUCGCUGCCGGGCUGGCCGGGACUGCGCUGUCGAAUGGGCUGAUCAAGCUGAGGAAGAAGAUGGAUCCCGAGUUUGAGACUCCCAACAAGCCUCCACCGACAUUGUUGAAUGCGGUUACUUGGGCAAUUCACAUGGGUGUGAGCAGCAAUUUGAGGUACCAGACGCUGAAUGGGGUGGAGUAUGUGUUGGGGAAGGGGCUGCCACCGCUGGCAUUUAAGUCUUCGGUGAUUGUUCUGAGGUGCUUGAACAAUGUGCUUGGUGGGAUGACAUUUGUGCUUCUGGCGAGGUUGACAGGAUCGCAGAGUGCUGCUGAGAAGCUGGAGAUUGGAUCGGCUGCAGAGAAGGAGAAACUGCUGGAGGAGAGUGUGGAUUUGCAGGGCAAUCAGUCGACUUACAAGUGAUGACUUUUGUGGCUUUUGUUUAUAAACUUGGGCUUGAUAUCUAGUUUUGUAGUGAAAAUAAAAUUCUAGGUUUGAUGAAUUUUAGGUCUUCUUCAAAGUUCAUCAGGAAAUGCUGGUUCUACAAUGUGUCCUCUACUUACAAUAGUUAUAUUAGCAAUGCUUGUUUUCUCUUGCGUUCUCCGGGUUGAGUUUUUCGGGUUUGCUAUACUUGUGUCCAUUCUAUUUUUCUCAGGCUCUCAGCUCACUUGAGAGUUGAGACAAAAUGCUUGCAUGAAACUUAAGCUUGAAGCCUUUGAUGCCUUUGAAUGUGGAUUCAAUUAUUUUCAGGUUCCCAACUGUGGUCUUGUUAAAGCAACCUGACAAUUAUGCAUCACCUAAUUAUUGGCCUGAACUACUUAGAGACGUAGCAACGCCUAUCGGCCCCCUUCCAUUAGAUUUGCUUGCCUGAUAAGUUUGUCCUUUCCCACUGUGAAAAGGAAAAAGACAAAGGUUUGAACAAGAAAUGGAGUUAACAGAAGAUUUUGAUCAAAUGGGCAAUGUGGUAGUUCUUUCAUACACAUUGUGACAAAGGUAUAACCCAGCUAAUAGAUAAAGAAACAAGCCAAAACCAAACGAGAAAGAACAGCGAGAAAAAUGAAGGUUAUUGCGAAAUAGUUGGGAAGUCAAGGUCAGAGAAAAUUGCUCCAUGUUCUAUGAAGAAAAUAUCAAGACGAAUGGCAUCUUUCCAAUUACUUUUCAUUGGUGCAAUGAAAAAUAGGCAAGAACAUAAGAAUAAAGAUCAUGUUUUUCAAGUGAAUUUGGAGUCAAUUUCAAUCACAUAUCCUCCUGACAUGAGAUUCCAAAGGAAUAGAUAUCAGAUUCCUUUUGCUUCCAUAUAAAAGCUGUCUGAAUCAAACUGCCUAAAGUUGAAUUUGGUGUCAGAAGGGAUAUAAACCCAGUUCCUCAUUUCUCAUAUGUAAGAUAAAUGAGCAUAAUAUAACAUUAUUUUCUAUUGUGUGUACAACAGUCAGCAGACAAGCUCAGCAGACAAGCUCUGCUCUCUAUGCGAAACAUGAUAUAUGCUCCUAAUCAAACCUUCCCGUCAACCACUACCAACUGCAACAUAUCUUCUGAAAAUUAGUAACGGUAGGCUUUCCCGAGCAGAGAUGACAAACCUUAUGCAGAGCAUUGCCGUGUUUAACUCAUCAGUGCACGAGUGAACUUAAGCAAUUACAUUGUGUGAGCUGCAGCACUAGCAACACUAUCUGACGGCUUCUGGUGCAGAAUUGCAAUAAGGUGUGUGCAAGCAAACCAACUUGGUGCAAGUCAAACACAAAGUUGCAAGCACCACACCCAUCAGAAGCCCACAAGUGCUUUUUCGCACAUCCAAUCUCCCUGCUCUUCUUAGUACACUUCCAAAACUUGGGAGUAGUCCCCCACAAGCAAACACCAUGACAUGAUCUAAACCGCUAUAGUCAAUUCCUGCAAGUAUUGCUCCAAUUGCAGAUAUUGGACCCAUAAAUCCAAUUAGAGCAGCUGCUGCAAGAGACCCCUGCCAGUUAUCUGUAGCCCCGAAGAUGCAACUAGCCACAGCUGCACCCCGAGGGAGUCCAUGGAGGGAGACAGGAAGAACCAUAUGCCGACCAAGUCCAUAGGCUUUUGGAGCAGCAACCCCCAGAGCAAGCCCUUCAGCCAAAGCAUGAAGAGCAACAGCUCCACAUGACAAGAAUGACUGGAGGGUGUGAACACUCACCGGAAAACCAGUUACUGUGGGCAAAUUAUGAACUGAAGUUUUUUUGCGACCUGCAAGCUUCAGAAUACUAGAGCUCAAAGUAUGGACAGUUGCAGCUCCCAAGGCAAGCAGCAACACCAGAGGAAUAAAUCCCAUCUUUGAAGAGAAAAGUAGCUGUGAUGGUCGCCAGGCACCAAGGACAAAGGCAAUGCCAGAUGCUACACCCAUGAGAAGAGCAUGCUGGAAACGGAAAGCAAGUGCAAAUGCCACAAGGACCAUGCCACCAAGCAAUGGCCCAAGACCAAAAAGCAAUGAAACAAAGAAGCCGGAAGCAUCCUCUGAGCUGCAACACAUAAUUUGCCGAUAAGAACAUCCAAAUACAUUUUGGUAAUCUGAUUUUUCAAAAUAAACAUUAAUCAUAGGACUUGCAAUCUUCUCAGACUUAAAAUAAACUCACUUGUAGUCAUGGCUGAAACUCUGAAAAACAGUGCUAAGUGCUUCCAUGAAUGCAACAGAGAGAGUAGCAGCAGAUGCAACUUGUGAUGGAGAGGCUUCCUACAACAAGGGAAGAUAAACUAAAUGAGUUGUAAAGGGAAAACAUAACACGUGAGUGUUUGCUUUACUGAAAUUCUUCAGGUUGCAACUGAUAUAUGCAGUUCAAUUGAAUCAAAAAUGCUGUAAAACCUACUGCAAAAAGACAGCAGUAACCAAGAUGAACCAAGUCCCAUGAUGUAUGUUACCUUAAAUGCAUCAGGAAGCACCUCUGCAACAACCAUCCAAAUCAUACAUCCAGCAGCAAAGCCCGUACAGAAAGGAAGGAACUUACUAAACGCAUCAGCACACAUGAAUGAAGGAACUGCUACAAGGGGCUGCAAGAACAACAUAAGUCAAAGAAGUUCAUACAGAAAGUUCAUACAUAAGCUGAAGUCCUCGAAUGUUGUACACUUGACAGGAGUGAAAUCCCAUCCCCUUGUGGUCUAUACCAAUAUCCCUCCAAUGAACCAAGACGGGGCUUUAUUGAUUGGACAUAGUGAAUCAGAUGCCCAAACACUAUGUAACCAUCAGAACCCAUUUCAUUCAUUUAAGUCUAAUGAUAUUCAUGCACCCUGAGCUCAAACCUUGGACUGUACAGUUUAACUAUUUUACAGCUUAUUCAAUUCUCCUAGACAUGGAUGAAUAUCCAAAAAAUUCAUGAAAAUUUUAUAUCCUAUCAAAUUACCUGUGGUAAUGACGUAAUUACACUCCAUAACAUGGCAUUCUGUGGAGAAACACCCCUUGAUGCGAGCACCAUACUCACUGCUAAUCCUUCUGGUAUGUUGUGAACAGCAAUAGCCAAAGUUACCAAAAGUCCCUGAGAGAAACCCUUUGAACCAGCAAAGGAAACCCCAACACCAGAGCCUUCUCCAAAUGAAUGAAGAGUCAUUAUUCCAAUCACAAGAACUACUUUAGUUGCAUCUGCACCUUUAAUGUCCAACAUACUAACUUCUCCAUAUUGUUCCAGACACUGAAACCAGAUGUAAUGGUGUAAGCCAUAAUGGGAUCUUUAUAUAUACUGGCAUCAUGUACAAGUGAAUACCAGAACUAGCACAGCUACAAACCAGCAGAUGUAUUUACAAGGGCAGCAUUUUGUUAGUUCACAAACUUAUAGCACUUGUACUUGAAAGCUUGAAUAACAUCUUAUCAAUUUCAACCAUUACGUCCUCUCAUAAAGAUAUCAAUAAUUGAUGAAACGAAAUGCCAAUGGACUUGUCUGGAAUUAGAUAUUGAUAUAUCACAGCUUCACCUGUAAAGCCUAUAUUCUAUAUAUAACUAAACUAUACUACUGGUUAUGACGCAUAUACAAACUAAAUACUUAACAAAUCUAUGUGCAAGAUGAUAUGGUGACGUGGUUUCAUAAAAAGCAAGAAUCAAAAUCACAAAUGGGACGCACAAACUGAAUACUGAAAACAUGGCAGAUAUGUAAAUAGAGAAGAUAAGGAAAAGUUGUUACCUUCUUGCAGAGCAAAAUAAAUAUUCCUCCAGCUAAAAGCCCAAAGACCACCCAAUUCCCUGCGCCAUGACCUUGCCCUUCCUGUAUAAGAUCAAAGCUUGCAGCCAACAUCACACCAGCUGCCAUUCCAUUGCACAGUCCAGCCCACUGUGGAUCAAGCUCCACAAAGAAGAAUGGAACUGCACCUAAACCAGUGGCAGCAGCCAUUGCCAGCGUAAAUAAUGCAACAGUGGAGAUUGAAACUUUGCUGUUCCCGUUCUUUGUCUCACCUGCCCCAUUAUUUAUAUCCUCUAAACUAAUAGUAUUCUCAUUACCAGUGCCAUCAAUAACAUUAGUUCUCACAUUCUUGUGUGGAGCAGAAAUCAACUUCCUUGAAACCUCUUCUUCAGACUUGGCUGUAGCAUACCCAAACAGAACCACGCAGAGCAGUGAGAACAAUACAACCUUUCUGAACAAAGAAUUCAUUUUCACACGUAAUAUAUCACCAGCAAAAGAUCACAACUUCAGCUUCAUAGUAUUGAGAGGUGCAACACUAUAUUCUUCUCUUCGAUGCUAUCAGAGAUGCUGCGCUCUUAUCAAACCAUCCAAGGCCACUUCUCUGGUACGAAGCCACCCUUCGUGGUUUGAUGUGCCCUGAUGUCAACCCUGCCAAUCAACUUUCAAAGUUUUAAUAGGUACUACCACAUCAAUAGUAUAAUAACACUUCCUCAUUCCCCCACGGCAAUGUAUAUCGUAAAACUCGGGCUUUUCAUACAAAACGAUCAAGACAUUAUCAUAAAAUGUGCUGUACAGUAUCCAAUUUACAAUCGAAAUUCCAAAACUAUGUUAACAAUUAAAGUAAUUAAACUAGCCUUAUCUCAAUGCCCCAAUUUGGGACUGAAACGAUAAACCAAGCUAUACCCUUUACCGUAAUUAAACCAAAUUUCCUCUCUUCAAACGAAAAACCAAUCAAGCAUAAAACUUUCAAUCAGCAAAUCACAAACAAGAACCCUAAUUUGACUCAAAAUCCUAGGAUCGAUGAUUGAGAUCAAUAAUUCGUAAAUAGAAACGAGAUGAAGGAAAUGAGAAUCAGAAUUACCGAAAGAAGAAGAUAGAUAGCACCGAGAUUGACUUAAUGUCAGUCAAAAGCAAUUCCAAUGGAGAAAAAGAGAAGGUUGGUUCUUCCGGGAAUAAUGAAAAACUGGAGUCGCCGCAGAUAAAACGUUGGAUUAAAACAUAAAAUUGGCGUUGGCUUAAAGUCGGGGUCUUUUGGACUUUGCUGCAAUUUUCUUAACAAAUUUUUAAUUUCGUUUGAUACUGUCAGAGUCAGCACGUUGUUUUUGGACCAAACCGGUUACUGGAAAAAGAAAGUGGAAACGUGAAGUUGAGGGCAUGGCUUUCCAUUUUGGUAAUAGAUGACACAUCCAUAAAUAGUUCCCCGUUACAAACGGUUGACACAAGACAAUAUUGAUGAAGGUGCUAAGAGGCCUAAGACUUGCUGCUAGCUCGGAGCUUCCCUCUCUUCUGAGUUCGCAAAGGAGAGGCAGUAGAGCAAAAAUAUUAACAAAGGACUGAAUUAGACAUAGUAAUGAUGAGAUAGUGGAUUUUACACGUCGGUUAACAUUCGGUGUUGUUAUCUUGUUUAUCUUUCUUAAUCGUAACUAUUGGCGUCACGAUUCAACUAAGAUGUUAGAUGUAAGUAACUCAUAAUACUUGAGGUUAAUUGCAAUUUUGUAUUGCUUCCUAUGUUACCAAUGCACAGUCGAUCGUUGAUUUCAUUUUGAAUGAGAUGUAUGACGGAGACAAUCAAGCAAAUGAAGAAAAUCAAAGUAUAAACAAGAGUAUAUUCAAUUAAAUAUUUAUAUAAUAUUUACUGGAGUACAAACAAGAGUUGCCUAGGCAAUCCACUUCGGUAUCCAACUCAAAAUGCAUUUCUUACUAAGAAACAAGAACAUUAUUCCAAAAACAACAAAAAAAAGGUAAGAGAAUGGAAAAACCCUAAGCGAGUUUUGCCUUGCACCAACCCCUAAAUCCUCUCCAUGCAAUCGAUCUUCAUGGCUUCCUCUCAUCAAUCCCUCUCUACCAUGAAUACCAUCACAUGAUGAUUCACAUCCAUCUUGGACUCCAUCUACUCCUCUCCAAAAGCAAACAUGUCGCCCACACGCUCCUCCAUGGCGUCAGACUACAUCUUCUCUUCUAUGGAGUCGUCCUCCAUCGACGAAGUCACCAAGAUAUCGGGUGCGAAACGUUGGGAUUCUCAGUCUUAUUUGCAAACGAAGUCACCAAUUGGUUGUGACGCCUCUCAAUCCUGAUCCAUCUUCUUUGGCAAAGACAGAAAAAUUCUGCAAUGGAAUUUGGGUGCCCAAAAUCCAGAUCCAAGAGCGCCCGAAGCCAAAGCCAAACAAGGAAGAACAGACGCCAAGUUUUGAAGUGAUGCCUAAACCUCCUAGCCCUAGCUCGGGCAAAGAGGUUCUCUAAAUCUGCUCUCGCUCGAUCUAUUUUUGAUUUCGUUUAUCUACGUACAUGACCAAAAAAAAAAAGACACUAUCUACGUACCCUUCCCCAUUAAUUAUUCACCAUUACUGUACGUGCAGACCAAAACGAGAUGAUUUUACACUCUGAAAUUAGCAUAAUGGUUCAUAGAUGGUGAACUCCUGAGGGUUUCAUCGAGGCGAUGAGAAUCAUGAGAUUACUCUACUGGUUAGCUCAAAUCCUUGCACACCGGAGGAGCACAUUUGUGUACAGGCUAGGUCCCCAAAAAAAGUCGAUGAAGAAGUUUAUGCAUGAUUUCUCAGUGUAUAAUGAGGAACCAGGUCAUUGGCGGAGCUAGCCUAUUUUCACCUGGCCCUAAGCCCAAGUAAGAAUUUUUGGGUAAAAAAUAUACUUACUUCUCAUCUAGAAAAAGAACACAAAAAUUGACAUAAAGAGGACCUCCUUACUUUAAAAAAAUUGGAGGAUUUCUAUUAUUUUACAUUAGUAGAUGACUUCAUUUAACGAUUUCAACCAUUGAUCCUCUAGAUUCAUAAGCAAGAAACAUGUCUACAAAAUUUCAACUAAUUCCAUAAUCAGUUGGUCAUUCAAAUUAACGUAAACAAUUGUAAGCCAUUAAAUAAAAUUAAAACGAAUAUUGUGUUAAUCAAGUGAUUAAACGUUUUUCAUUUUGGCUAAUUUUUUAUAUGAUUCAUAUGUGGGUAAGAGCAUCUCCAAUGGAGAUGUCAUAAUGCUUGUGUCAAUUUCAAAUUUGAAGGCUGAUGUGGCUCAUGUCAAUUUUGACAAAAACUCACUCCAACGGAGAUGUUAAAUGUAUGUGUCAUUUUAUUAAUUUUUAGAAUAUUUUAUAACAAACCGAUCACUACUCUUCUACUCUUCUAGUAGAAGAAAGAAGAAGAAACCCUUUGUGGAAGAAGAGAGAGAGAGAGAGAGAGGAAAGACAAACAAUGAUCGAUAGAGAAAGGGUGUCAAAUAUGACAGAAGGAUUUGAGAACUAUCAUCCACGUGGAUUUGACCAUUGGGUUAGAGGCCUUGUCAGCUGUCAUUUCUUGCUGUUGCAUUGUCCAUCUAUCAAAAAAGACAUCUCCACUAGAGAUGCUCUAAGAACUAGGGAAUGAGUGGUUUUGAUUGUCAAAAUACAUGUUAGAACUAAAAACAUCUUCACUUUAAAAGUUUAAGGAGGUCAUCUCUAGAUCCGGAUUAUAUAUCGGACCUAUCCAGAGCGAAGUUUCUUAUUUGACUAACUUUUCGGUCAUAUUUUCACAUCUUCACCCUUCAAUUUAUUGAUACUAAUGUAUAGAUCAUUCCAACAAAAUUUCAUUCAAAGUGAUGAUCGUUUAUGUAUCAAAUUAGAUUAAAUCAAUGAACAGAUCAUAAAUAUGUUUAACUAGAACUGUUUGUGUAAAUCACGAUUACGAAAACUCAAAUGAUCAUCAAAUUAGAUGUGCAGAAGUGAUCUAUGCAUUAGGUUUUACAAACUGAACAGUGGAGAUAUGGAAAUAUGACCGAAAAGUUAGUCAAAUAAGGAACUUCACACUUUCGCUCUGGAUAAGAACUUAUAUAUAUAUAUAUAUUAUAUAUAAAAUAUAUUUAGGACCAUUCAGGAGAGGAUGUCCGCACCGAAGAAAAAGUGCGGACGCCGACUCAAGGAGGCUCCAGGCGAUGUCAAUUAUGGCAGCUCUGCUUCUGUCCUUGAAGACAUCAUACAUCCCAGACGUCGUCAUCAUCAAGGUGAAAGCCGAGGUGAGGUAGAUCGAUGGUCCGGCCGGGAAGUUUACCAAAAAACUUCAAACACCUCAUUCUCGACUUCGAACUCGUUGUCGGAGAGUUCACCAGUAAGGAGAAGGACAAGAUAGAGGUUUGCUUCAGUGACGUCAAGGUCGGCGAUGCUGUCAGCACCGCCUAGAGACGUCCACCUCUGAUCCUUUCUAUAAAUAUAUAUAUAUAUAUAUAUAUACAUAGUCCGGAUGUGAAGCGGACGUCCGCACUCGGCUUAAAGUGCCGACGUCCGUCCGUUCUCCACCCUCCGACGCCGACAACGGCGCGCCUCCACCCCAGAACACUCCAGCAGCGUCCCUGACCACUUUCUCUCCCCGGCGAGUCUGUUCUUUUCCAGUUUUCCGGCAAGAUCACCCAAAACUUCAAACAAGAUCAAUCUCGCCGGAAACUGGAAAAGAACGGACUCACCGGGGAGGAAAAGUGGUCGGGGACGCUGCUGGAGUGUUUUGGGGUGGAGGCGCUCCGUCGUCGGCGCCGGAGGGUGGAGAAUGGACAGACAUCCGCACUUUAAGCCGAGUGCGGAAGUCCGUUUCUCAUCCCUAUAUAUAUAUAUAUAUAUAUAUAUAUAUAUAUAUAUAUAUAUAUNNNNNNNNNNNNNNNNNNNNUUUUUCUGUUAUAUACCUGAAUCGGACAAAAUACAGGCCGUCGAUUUGUUUUUCGAUUUUGAGGGUCUUAACGAUCACCAAAUUGGCUGAAAUUUUACAGAGAUGAUCUACACAAGAUGAUCUAGAUAUGUCUAGAAAGAAGUUUGAGGAAAUUUGAUCGGGAAGUGAUGUAAAAAUAGAAAUCCGCACUAAAACUUUGGUGCGGACGUCCGCACCUGAUGAGCUUUAUGUAUAUAUACACACAUAUAGUCGUUUUCAGAUACGGAGGUCCGUAUCUUUCAAAAAAUGCGGAUGAUCAACGUUGGCCGUUGGAUCAUCUUAAAUAGACUUCAAUGGCCAUGAUUAAAACAGACAAAAUGGAUGUUUUAAAAGGCUAGAUGGAUCUUGGAUUCGACCCGGGUCUUACAUGAAAGUGAUAAAACGGAGACGAAGAGGAAUUGAGCACCGAAGAAAAUUGAGCAUGAAAUCGGAUGAUCAGCUCCGUUAUGGUCAUAACGGCGUCAAGAGUGACCUCCUUGGGCUCCACCCAGUUGAAUCUGUGCAACAAUUAACGAAGAAGAUCCAAGACAAGAUGGAGAGGAGAAUCGUUGCAUUUAUCAAUGCAGAACUUUGCUCCCAACAGCUCCUUGGUUCAAGGAACCAUUGAGGCCUAAUUCUUGUUCACCCAGUUUUCACUUUUCAAUACCACCAAUUCUUCUGUUCCUCAAACACGUCCACUAUCAGAAAUCAACAGCUUGGUGCCUCGGUUCCUCUCCGCGUUUGUUCUCUGCAAACGGGUUUUAUCUUCGACCCGGGUCGAAUCCAAGAUCCAUCUAGCCUUUUAAAACAUCCUUUUGUCUAUUUUAAUCAUGGCCGUUGAAGUCUAUUUAAGAUGAUCCAACGGCCAACGUUGAUCAUCCGCAUUUUUUGAAAGAUACAGACCUCCGUAUUUGAAAACGACUAUAUAUAAAUAUAUACACAGAGCCCUUCUAAUGAGGGAUCCCUAUUUUAAGCCAUUUAUAGGGAUAGGACAUUACACCAACUUCCCGAUUAUAAUUUUACAUCUCCACCGUUCAUAUCUUAGGUCUAUAUGAGUAGAUCACCUCUAUAAAAUUUCAUAUGAUUUGGUGAUCGUUAAGGCUUUCAAAAGUUCAAUUUAGUUUUAAUAACCUUCAACGGUUUUAGUUUGACAUAAGCUGGACCGUUCAAGAUCAUUAAAACUAAAUCAAACUUUUGAAAGCCUUAACGAUCACUAAAUCAUAUGAAAUUUUGUAGAGGUGAUCUACUCAUAUAGACCUAAGAUAUGAACGGUGGAGAUGUAAAAAUUCAAUUGGGAAGUGGUGUAAUGCCCUAUCCUUAGAAAGUGACCAAAAAUAAGAAUCCCUCGAUAGAAGGGGGCUAUAUAUAUAUAUAUAUCAUUUGCAUUUGAAUGAUGGGACAUAAUAAUUAGUUAUAUUGAUCUCUAAUCAAUGAGUAAGUGACAUAUGUAAGCUUCAGGAGUUAUGGGUUUUAGUAGUAUUUCUAGAGCUAGGGUUUAUUAAAGGUUAAAAUUUGAUACGGGGAUGAAAGGUCAAGUGUGAUGCUUAAUAUUUGGAUCUAGGUUGACAGAUUGCAUCGUAGAGAGUGUGAUAUGAGAAUAUACCUGUGUGAAUCACAACUAUCUUGUGGAAUGCAUGUAGAUUACUGUUAAUCAAGCUGACAUCGUUUUGGCUAGACAUUAAUUAGCUACUCUCAAGUCUUAAUUCCCAAAAUCACAAACGUCGUCUUCUCAUCUCCUAAACUUUGAUUGUUAAUCCACGACUCUUAAAUUCUCAUCGAUUUUAGUCCUUUUAGUGAGCUGAUUGACUGUCUCAAUCGACGACUUAUUUGAGCUCGGUAAUCUCUUUCACGGCUCUCAAAUUAACAAAAAAUUUCCCAAAAUCACACUGGUUGAAAUUUGAUGUGUUACAAUUAACCCGGGUAACAAUAUCAUCCUGGCUCCGCCACUGAACCAGAUGAUGAAAUAUUAUUGUGUCAUCCCCGAAUAAUUCUAAUGAUCGAUGCAUUUUUUUCAAGUUCUCUCACCACUUACAAAAUUGCCAUCGUUUUGUUUGUCAUGUGGCAACUUAAUUAUGAGAAAAGCUCUGGACACAUUCAGAGAUGAAUAAAUCAUACAUAUGAAUAUAUCAACCCAUUCUGCUUAUCGAUCUAUAUAAUGGAGAACAUGAUGAAGCAUCUGACUUACUGGUGAGCCAUGCAUAUGUAUUCACCUAACCAAAUCAACUUGAUCAUUGUUUGUCUAUUUUUAUUGGCAAGUUGAUUGGGAUGUGGCAGUACUCUGGGCUCCUGCCAACCUUAUAAGAAGGGCUCUAGGUCUGUGUUAGUACUCAGUACCUCAUUCACCCUAGGUCCCUAGCCUUGGGAUUGAACUCUCGAGGUCGAAGUAGCUAGGUAUCGUAGUUUAUCUGUUUUCUAAAUGUCAAAGUUUGUGUUGUAGAUUGUAAACUGUCUAGCAGAAUAUAUAAUCUACAAUUCCGGCUUUAACUUUAAGAAUGCUAUAAUCCACCGGAGUCAUCAACCGGUCGACGUAAACGAUUAUUGAGGUCCAAGUCGGCCGUAUCGUAGUUAUUAUGUGUUCUUAAGGUCAAAAUCAGUGUUGUAGAUUGUACUGUGAUCUGUCUAGCAGAAUAUAUAAUCUACAAUACUGAUUUUGAUUUUAAGAAUGCCAUAAUCCACGAAGUCCCCGGCCGGCUGGUCACUGUCAACGUGGAGGUCGAAAUCUGUCGUAUCGUUCUUAUUCUGUUCUUGAGGUCAAAAUCCAUAUUGUAGAUUGCACCGCAGAAUAUACGAUCUACAAUGCAGACUUUGACCUUAAGAAUGUCAUAAUCUACGAGCUAGGAGUCCCAACAGAUCACCGUAAAAGCUAGCAAGGAGCCUAGCAGCAAGACAUGAUCACCAGACAACAUCGUGGCUUUCAAAUUCUGACUUUCACCUUAUCACCGUAUCGUAGUUUUUCCAUCUCUCUCUCUCUNNNNNNNNNNNNNNNNNNNNCUCUCUCUCUCUCUCUCUCUCUCUCUCUCUCUCUCUCUCUCUCUCUCUCUCUCUCUCUCUCUCUCUCUCUCUCUCUCUCUCUCUUCCCCUUUUCUUUGUUGCACUUUUUACUACGUUUUAAUUGUAUUUUUAUUUUCAGUUUUGUUUGUUACAUCUAAAAAUGUAGUAAACUAUACUCAGUGAGUAUUGGUUCUAGCUAUUGGCGUCACGAUUCAUUUGAUAUAAUGCUUUAAUAAUCAAAGUUACUUGCAAUGUUGUAUUGUUUCUGCUUAUAUUAGUAGUAAUAUACAAUUGUUUUUCCGCACUUUGAACGGAGAUGUAUGAUGGAGACGAUCAAACAACUAAAGAAAAUUAAGGUAUUGACUGUAGCACAAAGAGUACUGAGGCAUAUAUGUGAUUCACAAGAAAACAACCAAAACUAGCAGCGGAUGCUAUCUUUUCUUCGUUUCUAUGAGAUGACAUAAUAUAGUCUUUUUUUUUCUUUCUUAAACAUUGGGGUAUGCAAAACAAACACGAAGACACUGGUCGAAGACAUGCACUUUUGAGGAAAUCACUAUCUUUGUUCAAUAAUAUUAUUGUUCUGUUACAUGAAUAAGAUUACAGACCCUAUUAUUCACCAUUAUGCCUAGUUGCCUACCAAAAACCGAGAUAGCUAGUUUUAUACUCUGAGGCUGUCAUAGAGGCGAGAUAUAUGGUAGGGAAUACUCCGCUGGUUAGAUCACUUCCUUGCACACUGUCGACAGAUGGAUAUGAUGAAGUUAUGAACCCAGCCAUUCUGGCCGGUAUCUCCCGUUCUCCCCUAUAAUGGAGAACAUCAAGCCUGUCUGGUCACUCUGGUGAGCCAUAUUCACCUACGUACGAAUAUAUAGACCGAAAUUUCAAGACAAAAGUAUCACAGAUCUCCAAAAGUCUUUUCGGCAAGCUCUAUAAGCCUGCAGAGAUGGAGAACAUACGUACAGCAGCACUAAAGAUCUAAAGAAAAUUCCCAAUGGAAGUAUGAAGAAAACUAGCUCAAUCAACCUUGAGACGUCCGUCGAUCUUCAGUUUUGAUACGAGAAUGUACGUAGUGGAAGUUCCGGCUGCAUGACGUACGUCAGAUCGAGUUGGCUUUGCUUGAAGCCUGAACCAAAUGAAAGUAGAUCUGCACGACCUGGAACGGUUUCACCACAAUGAAUAAUCAAGUGUAAGAACUUCCGAUAUUUUCAAAUUUUGAACUUAAAUCUCAGAAGAAAACUCAGCCGGGUUGUAUCAGUACUCUCUGGUCCAUGCCCUCCUACAAUAAGAAGGGGUCAGGGCCUGUGUUAGAACUCAGCACCAUUCAUCUCAAAACCAGUCACAGUGUUGUCUGGUGAGGUCAUGUUUCUAGCGUUUACUACGGCUAUGGUGACCGGAGACUCGAUCGCCAUCGAUCAUGGCAUUCUAAAGAUCGAAGUAAGUAUUAUUUCGACCUUAAGAAUGCCAUAAUCUAUGGCGAGUGUGCGGCCGAUCACCAUGGCCACCACAAAUGUUAGCAACAACACCUCAGCAGACAACACUACUGUAUAUGGCUUCAUUAAUGCCAAUGGCACAGGGGGCUUGCCUUCUCCAGAGCUAGGGUUAGAGAUUAUAUAAAGCCUUAGGAAGUUGGCUCAACCACGGCAUCUCUUCUCAGGAAUUUUAAGUAAUUGGAGCUACGUGAUUGUCAGGGACGAAGAGGAUACGGUGUCAGUUCCAAUCAUAUUGUUUAAUCUGAUACUCUGAAUCUGUGAGUCCGCACGUUGUUUCUGGACAAAUCCGGUGGGCGGUGGCUGGAGAAAUUAGAAAGGAGCCAGAGGUAAGGCUUUCAAUCUACCAAAACUAGUGGAUGCCACCUUCUCUUCGUUUCAUUUGCUACGAGUUAAGUCAUAGAAUAUAACCCUAGUAUACAGUCCUCUUCUCUCAAACAUUGGUAUGCAGAACAAGGCGACAAUAAGAGAUGCCUGACGUACUGUAACAUUUGAUCAUUAUUGGAACAACUUAAAGAACAACACUCAGGAAUAAUGGAGAACAUGAAGCCUGACGUACUGGUGAGACAAUUUUCACUUAACAAAAGCAACUUGGUUAUUAUUUGUCUAAUUUUAUUGGCAAGUUGAUCGAUCAAACAUCUGGAGAGAAAAUGAAGGCACAAUUGUUGCCUACUCAUCCAACUCGAACGGCAUGUAUCUAAUGCACAAGAGAGCAACCAAACCUACCGGAGGCCACGUACCUUCUCUUCGUUCCAUUUGCUAUUUUGCUACGUACGAGUUUCUUUGUUGAUAGAAUAUAGUCAAUAUGCAAUCUUCUUUUCUUAGACAUUGGUACGCAAACCAAACACACAGAGAUGCGCAUUUGAUUUGUAAUUGUACGUUAGCAACAACUUUACAGUGAAAUCACUAUCUUUGUUCAAUUGUUUUGUUACACGAAUAAGCAGAUUACAGAGUAGUGUUCACAUGGUUAGUCACUGAUCAAGAGAUUCAUAGUCAGUCAUCAUUAGAUUUUACAUCCAAUGGUUAAAAAAAAAAUAACUUAAAUCUAAUGGUGACUGACUAUGAAUCUCUUAGUCAAUCACUGACUAUGUGAGUAUGACCGUAAGAUUACAUACACUAUCAAUGUACCUCUCCCUAUUGUUUACCAUUUUGCAGACCAGAACCGAGAAAUUUUACACUCUGAAAUUAGCAUCAGAUGCUAUUUUUGUUCCUACUUAGAAGCAAAGAAGGUAAAUGAACUCCUGAGGCUGUCAUCGAGGCAAGAUAGUAGGGACUACACCACUGUUUAGAUCACUUCCUUGGACACUGGAGGAGCACAUAUACGGGUCCCCAGUAAAAGUCGAAGAAGUUGGUGAUUUUUCAUUGUACGAGGAACCAGAUGAUGAAAAUAUUGUAUCAGCUCCCGGCAUAAUUUUGAUGAUGUUUUCAAGCUCCCUCACCACAUCUAACAUUGAUGGCCGGUCGUCUUGUUUAUCUUGGCAACAUCUGAGGGCCAAAGCUACAAACCUCUCGACACAUUCAGAUGGAUAUGAACCCAUUCUGGUAUCUAUAAUGGAGAACAUUAAGCCCGACUGAUGAGCCAUAUUUACCUAAGAAACAAGAACUUGAUUAUUAUGUGUACCCUUAUUGCUAACGAAAUUAAAAGAAAUAAAAUUUCCGUUUUAGUCUUAUACCUCCCGAACAAUGUUUUUGCCAUGUGAUAUUGGCAGCACACCAGUCAAGAGCUCCAGGAACACAAUUCCAAGGCUAUAGACAUCGCUUUUGUCUGUUAACUGACUGGUCAAGAAAUACUCUGGAUCCAGGUAGCCCUGCAAGUAUGAUCCCAAAGUGUUAUGAAAUUAACAAAUUCAGUUAAGAAGCAACUUUUUGUUAUGUUUCAAACUCUACAGCCACUCUUAUAAGCUGUACCAAACUAAACAUACCGGUGUUCCUCUCACAACUGUAGAUACGUAUCCAGGGCCAGUCCCUUCAUCAUCCUGGACAGGAGCAAGUCGUGAGAGUCCAAAAUCAGCCACCUUAGCAGUAUAGUUGGAGUCCAAAAGUAUGUUGGUGGCUUUAAUAUCUCGGUGAAAUAUAGGAGGAUUCGCCUCGGUAUGGAGAUAAAGAAUUCCUUUGGCUGAACCCAAUGCAAUACGUAACCUCAUACUGAAGUCCAGGCUUCCCUUGAUUUUAUCUGUGACUCGUAUGACAGUAAGUAAACAGAAUUAGCUAGAUGAAACUCUAGCCAAAAAGGCAUGGUAUGGGAGGAGCCAUUUAAAAAGAAAAACUUCAAAUGUUGGAAAGUCCAUACCAGAAAGCCAGUCACGUAAGGUACCAUUAGGCAUGAACUCAUAAACCAACACCUGUGGGAGCAGCAACAACAUAAUUCAAUUAAUGACAUUUCUUGUGCUCCUAAUCCAUUGAAGCAUACCAGCAUGCCACAAUGCAUGCUUAAACUCCUACUUCUUACAUUCAUGAAAUUAAAGAAUAUGCAAUAAAGAGUCACCAAGUAAAACAGCAAAGUAAAUCCAUUUAUGAGUUCAACUUCCAACUGAUAAAAUUCAGACUAAUUUUCCCCGUUCAGAAUGAGAGGGAAGGAAGAUAUAUAUAUACACACACGGAGCCGUUCCAAAGAGGACGUCCAUACAGCCCUUAAAGUGUGGACGUCCAUUCGUUCUCCACCGGAUAGCUCCGACGACGGCGCGCCUCUACCCUAAAGGACUCCAGUAGCGUCUCCGAUCACUUUCUCUCCCCGGUAAAUCCGCUGAAUUCCAGUUUUGCAGCGAGAUCACCUAAAACUUCAAACAAAAUCGAUCUCGCUGAAAAACUGGAAUUCAGCGGACUCGCCGGGGNNNNNNNNNNNNNNNNNNNNCAGUCCUAACAUCACCGAAACACAAAACUCCGGUCCAAUUCGCUAUACAUGGAUCCCCUUUGUCCCAAUUCCUCAAAUGCUUCAUGGGAUCAAUCAAACUACCCUUCACUGCCCUCAAUGCAUCAACUGCAAAUGCGCACACAACUCAUAAUCCAAUUCCCACCAUAACUAACCCAAAAAUCCUAUGUAACAGUAAACCAAUUGGGUUAAACUCCAAUUGGGUUUAGCAAACAUGUAUCAAAACUCACCUUCAGAAGGAUUUGUAACUUGUGCCACUGCAACUAGGAAGAACCAAGAACAAGCCAGAGCAAUGAGACAACCCCAAAAUUUCAACCUCAACAUUCUAACAAUCCAAAACAAGCAAUUCUCAGCAACAGAAUCAAUCAACAAACUCAAAAAACACAUAAAAGCUUGAAACUUUAUAAAGAUUUCAAAAGCAAAACGAUACCUUUCGGUUAAAGAAGUGAACUUUGAGACUUGUCGGGUGAAUUUGUGCAGAAAAUCAAAUGAUACUUAGGAUGAUAAAGGAUUGUGGUACUUGGUUGUCGUCAAUGAUAUGAUGACCCUUCAUUAUAGCCUCUGAGACUAACUGUGUGGAGUUGGCGAUUUUACAGAUUAUAUAUAUCUAAUUAUUUUAAUCUGGGGAGUAAGAGCUGAAAAGAUAAGUACUUGAUGGAGAAACUUGGAGUCUUCUACUUCUGUGUUGUCUCUUUCCAGACUCUUCAGCUUUUCUAUCUUCUCGGCUUGAGAGUUAGUGUGAGUGUGAUAGUGAAACCUAAGGGGGAGGGGGUGGACUUCUCUUUGACCAUUUCGAUUGUUCCAAACCCGCCUUUUUUUUUUAAAGUGCUUGUGGCUGUGGGGGUGGGAGACCAAUUGGAUCUUUGUACUUUGCUUAUAAAACUCGUCUGGUUUUCUAAAAGGAGAAAAAUACCACGUUUACUUGAAUUUUAUGCCUCCAAGUGAUUCCCUUUCACACUAUCUAACAAAAUUUAGAUCUAGAUUUUGGGUUUGUUUAAGCUUUUUCUUUGUGGGAUUGGAUUGUUUAAUCUUUGAGAGUGAGCAUUAUUAAUCAGGAUUAAGGAUUAAAAUAUCGGUAUCGGUGGAUCUAUCAGUACUUUGAAAAAAAAAUUUGAAAAAAAGAGAUAUCGGAUAUAUCAGGGAUAUCCGGUAAAAAAUAUCGGGUUUUAGAUAAAUACAUGAUUUUCUUUGAUUAUUGCUUUUGUAGAUUUUCUUUUUCCCAAGUCAAUAGCAUGAAAAAUAAGAAGAAGAAAACAAUGUUGCUUUGUCACGACAGCUAAUCUACUGUGAAAACAAUUGGUUAUAUCAUCACCAUCUGCUUGACUUGACAAAGCAAACAAUUUAUUUAAGACUUUGUCCCUCUCAUUCCAUUUUCAGGAUUACCAAAUGGAAUACCAACGAUUAACACGAAACAAAAUAUCAAUCUUUCUCAUUUGCCACACUUCGCACGGCAUUGACUAGCAAUAUUGGUCCAUUAAUACUGCUAUAUCAGAGCUACUAGUAUUUUGAUUAUGACAUUAGAAAACAAAAACUUUAUAACUUGAUGUUCUUCUUACGAGAAUAGUUCCCACAACUUGAGGAUGACCUCUGGGGCCAGUAAUGGACUAAUGGUACGUGAUGGUAAGCUACAUAUAUUCCAAGUUCAAUUCCAACAUGCAUGCAUACAUGGUGAUACUAAUAGUCAGUCGCUUACCAUCUGCGUCAUGAUCAUAUAUAUUUUCAUGCAUAUCUUUAUGUGUUUCCAUUAAUUUCCAGGAAAUAUUGGAGACGAGAAGUCUGGAAUUGAAAGCUAAAUGAAAACAAGUUACGGUACCACUUCAUCAACUGAACUUAUCAGUUAUUACCAAGGUCAUUAUAUAUACUAAAAUAGAAAAUGAAUCGUCAUAUUGACAUAGAACAAUUAUUUAGCUGCUUAAUUAAAAUUAUCGAUGAAAAUAAAAGUUGUACUACGGAUGCCCACCAAAUUAAACUUUUGGUUUUGAAUUACUCAUAUUCUCAUAUCAUAUCUUCAUCAGUUAUCUAUAUUAACUGAUGUGUGUGAUACAAGAAAUUAAACCACUUAAAGGCCAAAUUCAAUCAGAUUACUGUUGAUAUAUAUAUAUAUAUACAGGGCCCUUCCAAUAAGGGAUCCCUAUUUUAAGCCAUUUAUAGGGAUAGGGCAUUACACCAACUUCCCGAUUAUAAUUUUACAUCUCCACCGUUCAUAUCUUAGGUCUAUAUGAGUAGAUCACCUCUACAAAAUUUCAUAUGAUUUGGUGAUUGUUAAGGCUUUCAAAAGUUCAANNNNNNNNNNNNNNNNNNNNCUUCUUGGGAUUCAUUUGAGGUUAUAGUCCCAAUACCUAAAUUGAUAGACUCAAAACUUAGCGCAACUGAAGCAACAUCUUGAUCAUCAUUUGCACUUCUAGUCCUCCUCUCUAGAGGCGGAGCUAAGUUAGGACCAAAGGGUACCAUGUCACCCUUGACUCUUUGGUUGAUAAGUGAUUACUAACUAGGAAGCUAUUGAUUUAAGAAAAAUUUAUAGUUGAUUAUGCUUGAUGGCACCCCCCAAACAAAUAUGGAAACUACUCAUGCAAGGAACACAAAUGGGACGUGGCAAACUUUGCACUCAAUUCUUGGUUUCUUACUUUCUUAAAUGAAUAAAAUACAUGAAUUAAUUUCAAUCUAUAAUCUAUUUCCAAUUUCAUAACUAAAAAAACUAAACUUCCAGUUGUAAAAGUUUAAUAUAUUUGUUUAUCAGUUUGUGCAAAUAAAAUGCAAUGUCAUAGAUCGAUAAAAAAUAAAUUGCAAGAACGUAUAAUUUGACCUGAAAAAUUAAAAGACCAAUAAAGCUUCAUUUUGGUACAUGAUUCAAUUUAAUUACUCAAUCUUUCUUUUAAAUAAACGUAAUAACCAAGUAACGCGAUGCAUACCAUGACUGAUCACCAUCAAUAAAGAAAAAGCUUUCUAAAUCACUACCUAUUUAAAAUGGAGGAGAAUUUACAGGAAAAAUAAGAGCAAGCGAGUAAUCUUAAUGUACAUUGACAAUUGUGCUUAAUAAAAUAUUUCUGUAAGAAUUAGAUCGAUUUUCAUUUAACUAUAUAUUAGCCGGCCCCCUUAAAAAAUAAAAAAUCAUGGCUCCGUUUCUGCUCCUCACAUACAUGGUAUCCUCUUGUGCUCCAUACCUAGUACUUCUAAAGUCAUGAUCAUGAUCUUGGGAGGCAUGAUUGUAAUUUUCUUCAUAUGAAAAAUUGUUCAAUCCUCCCACUGUAAAAGAUUGUCCAUAUUCAUUCAGAUAUAUAUACUCGAGGAAAUUACUUAUCUAUCGAAUAUUUGUUGGAAUAUGAUUUUUCUUUAUGAAAUUUUUUUACAAAUAUUUCUUUAAUAUAUCAAAAAUAUAUCAUAAAUAUCUUAAAUAUCGAAGAUAUUUCUUAUAUAUCGGGGAAAUAUCGGAGAUAUUUGACAGUAUCGGAAAAAUAUUAGAGAUACGAUGGAAGAUAAGAAAUACCCCUCUAGAUAUAUCGAUCCUUAAAAAAAAAGAUAUCAGAGGAUAUAUCAGAUAUAUCGCAGAGAUUUUAUUCUUUAAUCAGGAUAUUGGGAAUAUAUGCCAAGGUCUGUGCUUAUGCUUGUACUUUUGGGCAUAUUUGGUCAAUGUUUUUAAGUGGAGAUUAAAGUUUGACACAUUCAAUGACGUUGAUCUUGUUCUCAAGUCUUUAGAUUCUAGACUAAAAAGGUUUCUAGAAUUUUGUUUUUUCUACAAGACAGUUAAGGACUUUUGUUCGUAUAAGUUAAGUUUAAUACAAUGAACACGUUUAAGAAUUAAAUUAAAAAUUAAAUAUCGAAACAUGUUUUCUAGUUUUUGUUCAAAUGUCUCCGAUGUAAUUAUUUUGAAGUAAAUCGAAAAUAUUUUUCUUUUGAGACUAUUGUUUUUAUCAUGUUCUUUGAAUUUGCAUCAUACCGUGAUCACAUUCCUCUCAAAUUUGUGACGUCUAGAUCUACGUUUUUGUUCAGUAGAAAGUCACAUAAGAUGGCUCCACAUUCACUGAUCACCAAGUCAAGACAAAAUGCAGCCCCUUCAUAAUAACUUCGAAAUUUGCCAGUGCCUUCAAUCCUUAAAUAACACAAUAGCUCAUGUCACUCCUGCUAUUCACAUUGAUCUGAUCGUUUCAUGAAGACUCGAAUCCAAAUUGUGCAUUAAAGGACAUUCAGAUGACCUAAGAACCAUCUGGAGAUUCUGAUCUGAACAACCUCAAACACUUUAGCGGAUUAAAAUAGUUGUACACAGCUCAGAUUGUGUAGGGUUUGGUGAGGUCGAUCCUUUGGUAUUUCAAAGAAUAUCUGGAAACUGGAAUUGUCAAAUGAGAGAUGUCGUUUUCUCUCUCUCUGUCCAUAAAAGAAAAAUAAAUUUGUUUAUUUUUUUAAGGAUAUCAAUCUCAGUUUCUCAUGUGGAUCAUAUAGUUUCAGAAAGACUAGCCAGGCUGCCAUUUGGAGAAUUGCAUACUCUGGUCUUGCUUAUGGAUCCCUUGCAUAUGUGGUGUCACCUUCCAUUAUUGAUAAGUGAUUGUGUCCACAAAUAAUGGAUGGUUAGUAAUUGGGGAUCAGUCAGUUCAUUUCAAGUGGCUAGGUGACAGUUUCAAGAUGUAGAAGUCUGAAGUUACAAUUUCAAAUUUGUAAUACUGGGUUUGAAAUGUCUCAGCAUGAUAGAAGAUGAUCCAAAAGAAGCUUCCCUUUUUACCAUGUAGGUUUUACACUAACUUGUCUUGCAAACAUUUACCAUGUAGAUAGGUGAGUUGGUAAUGUGUUCUUACUCGGUCUAUUUGCAGCGCUAAGCCAGUAGUACAAACUACAAACAAACUUGAGCUCCUCUGAGUGGUAACUAAAACUUUGGGUACCAAAACAUGCCUUUGAUGCCCUCCGGGUCAGCUUCAAAACCCAAAUUUUGAUAGAAAUCCACGACUGCAAUGACAAUGUAAGAAAACAAAGUCUAAGAACGAGAACGUCCAACACCACAAAGUGGUAGCACUAGAGCAGAUCUAGUUGUGGAAAAAGGAGACUACUGUAGAAUUUGUGGCAAAAGAUUUGUAUUGAGACCAUGAUAGUUAAUGAUUACUAUGACACAGACUCACACACGGAUUUCCCAUCUAUCUUCCCGUUUGUCAGGAAAGUGCUUCCUGAGUUUGUGCUUCCCAAACACAGGAAAGCAACCACUUUCCAUUCCUUUCUCCUAAAAUCCAUGAAACAAACAUCUAGGAAGAGUUCCAUAGAGACAAGUGGAUUAAGCAGGCAUUAACAACCUAUUUCUGUAUAUGCAUGUAAUUACCUUAUCACAGAGGGAUUGAAGAUCAUACACAUCAACAUCUCCACCAGAAGAAAAAAUUAUUUCUUCAACUGUUCCAUCUGGUUCAGUCUUUUCAAUGAGAACCAACUCUCCAGGAAGGGGUUCUUCUUCUUCUGCAAGUGUGGAUGGUGGUUCCACUACUUGUGUUGUGUUGUUGCUUAAGAUACUGCAAAAAGGAAGUGAAUUAAGGACCUUCAUAAAUUUAUUCCAUGUGAGAGGAGGGCUAGCAGGUGGCAAUUAGUGAUACACACACAUAUAGACUGAUGAAAUAAAAUGUAAAUCUUUUGCAUGAUACACUCUUGUCUUCAACUAUUACGAAGUUCAUAACUACAUGGUGGUCGAAGCAUUCGGAUUAUAAGAAAUAGUAUCAUUCAAGCAUGCCGUAAAUCGGAAUUAAACAUUUAUACACAAUCGUAAGUAACAAAGACCAGCAAAUCGUUUUCUCUCAUUCUAUUCGACAUUCUAUACUUAUAGUUGACUGACUAAGUGCUGAAACCAAAUAAUGUGUCAUUUUUCCCGACAUAAAGCACUAUUUGACCAGUUUUUGAAAACAAUCUCACCUGUGUGCUCGCUUCAAAAGCAUUACUGAGCAACUAAGCACCUAUAAGUUAUAACUUUCUAAUUUGAAGGGAAAUUCGUCUAAAUAGUAUCUCAACUUUUGCCCUUUAUAAACUUUGAUAUUUCAGGUUUCAAAAACAUCAAAAUGGUACCUCAAGUUUUCAUCUCGACUGAAUUUUGGUACUUUAUGCCGUUACCUCCGUUAUAAUGUAGGCUACCUGGUAAUUUUAGAGGGUAGUUUUGUCCUUUUAUGUCUUAUUAUUAUUAUUUUUUAACUGGUGGUUCUCUCUCUCGACUCCGCCUUUGCCUCCGUCUUCUCCGACGCCGUCUGGCUAGCUCCGGCCACCAUCCUUCACAAAACCACCACCAAUCUCUUCCUCUUCUUCUUCUUCUAUAUGAAACCCAGCCCUCAAACCUUAUAUGCAAGCCGGUUCGAAAGCUAAUCGACGGCAAGAAGCACCAGCUGUUCUCCGCCGACACACAAUGAUUCCGGCCACAAAUUGAGUCCCGAUGGGCAAGGUCUUCUCCGCUUUCCUUCUUCUUUCUUUAUGUGCUUUUAUUUCCUUCAAUCGAGUCUAAUUCGAAAAUCCCUCUUUUCUAUCUUUUCUGGAUUCCGAGUUCCUAACUUUGGCGGCAGUGUUCUUUGGGUUUUCCGGUGAGUCUAUCGAACUGUGGCAAGUCCUGCUUCAAGCUGGAGGAUUUCAGAAGAGGAUCGGGUUAGGUUUGGCCGUUUAGGUGCUUGUUUAUAGUAACACUUGGUUUUAAUGACGGCAAAAUCACAUACCAAAUACAUUGUGAACCCUUAAAUUUGCUCCGAUGAUUUCAAGCUCAACAUUAUCAAAACUCAAAUAGCUAGCAAAUUGGUAAACGAGGCAUGAUUUUCAGAUGAAAUAGAGAAUUAGGUCGAUCAAAUUCAGAGCUAGGUAUUGGAAAUUUGAGCUCACAUGGUGAAAUAAGAUGGGUGAUUUACGUAGGUAAGCUGGGUUUAUCUCGGCAAAGACCAAGAAUGAGAACCAGUACAACCAUGAGGCAACAAUUCUUGUUUCUUGAAAUAGAGGCAUUCAAAAUAGGAUCGGAGGUAUCAAAGCUUUGGUGUAUGUUUCGACAAUCGAGAAGGACGAUGAAGAAGAAUAGAAACGGUAGCUGGAGCAGUUGAAGAUGGAAGAAAAUCUUUUGGGUGCAAAGAUCAAAUUUGGACCCAUGAAGGUAAGAAAAAUGCAUUAAUAUAAUAAAAAGACAAAACUGCCCUUUAAAAAUUGUCAAGUGGCCUGCACCGUAAUAGAGGUAACGGCAUAAAGUACCAAAGUUCAGUCGAGGUGAAAACUUGAGGUACCAUUGUGAUGUUUUCGAAACUUGAAAUACCAAAGUUUAUAAAAAGUAAAAGUUGAGAUACCAUUCAGACGAGUUUCCCUAAUUUCAAUGGUGAAAUCACUAUCUUUGUUCAAUUGUUCUGUUAAACGAAUAAGAUUACAUACACUAUCUAUGUACCUCUCCCUAUUAUUUACCAUUUUGAUGACAAAAACCGAGAAAUUUUACACUGACGUAAAUGAACUCCUGAGGCUGUCAUCGAGGCAAGAUAGUAGGGACCACACCACUGUUUAGAUCACUUCCUUGUACACUGGAGGAGCACAUAUACGGGUCCCCAGUAAAAGUCGAAGAAGAAGUUGGUGAUUUUUCAUUGUAUGAGGAACCAGAUGGUGAGAAUAUUGUAUCAGCUCCCGGCAUAAUUUUGAUGAUGUUUUCAAGCUCCCUCACCACAUCUAACAUUGAUGGCCGGUCGUCUUGUUUUUCUUGGCAACAUCUGAGGGCCAAAGCUACAAACCUCUCGACACAUUCAGAUGGAUAUGAACCCAUUCUGGUAUCUAUAAUGGAGAACAUUAAGCCCGACUGAUGAGCCAUAUUCACCUAAGAAACAAGAGCUUGAUUAUUAUGUGUACUCUUAUUGCUAACGAAAUUAAAAGAAAUAAAAUUUCCGUUUUAGUCUUAUACCUCCCGAACAAUGUUUUUGCCAUGUGAUAUUGGCAGCACACCAGUCAAGAGCUCCAGAAACACAAUUCCAAGGCUAUACACAUCGCUUUUGUCUGUUAACUUACUGGUCAAGAAAUACUCUGGAUCCAGGUAGCCCUGCAAGUAUGAUCCCAAAGUGUUAUGAAAUUAACAAAUUCAGUUAAGAAGCAACUUUUUGUUAUGUUUCAAACUCUACAGCCACUCUUAUAAGCUGUACCAAACUAAACAUACCGGUGUUCCUCUCACAACUGUAGAUACGUAUCCAGGGCCAGUCCCUUCAUCAUCCUGGACAGGAGCAAGUCGUGAGAGUCCAAAAUCAGCCACCUUAGCAGUAUAGUUGGAGUCCAAAAGUAUGUUGGUGGCUUUAAUAUCUCGGUGAAAUAUAGGAGGAUUCGCCUCGGUAUGGAGAUAAAGAAUUCCUUUGGCUGAACCCAAUGCAAUACGUAACCUCAUACUGAAGUCCAGGCUUCCCUUGAUUUUAUCUGUGACUCGUAUGACAGUAAGUAAACAGAAUUAGCUAGAUGAAACUCUAGCCAAAAAGGCAUGGUAUGGGAGGAGCCAUUUAAAAAGAAAAAACUUCAAAUGUUGGAAAGUCCAUACCAGAAAGCCAGUCACGUAAGGUACCAUUAGGCAUGAACUCAUAAACCAACACCUGUGGGAGCAGCAACAACAUAAUUCAAUUAAUGACAUUUCUUGUGCUCCUAAUCCAUUGAAAAGCAUUGAAGCAUACCAGCAUGCCACAAUGCAUGCUUAAACUCCUUACAUUCAUGAAAUUAAAGAAUAUGCAAAAAAGAGUCACUAAGUAAAACAGCAAAGUAAAUCCAUUUAGGAGUUCAACUUCCAAUGAUAAAAUUCAGACUAAUUUUCCCCUGUUCAGAAUGAGAGGGAAGGAAGAUAUAUAUAUCUGUAAUGGACAAAGUGAAAACAAUAUGAGACUCUAGAUUUAUUCGCUUCUUCACCAAAAAUAUGUUAUAGAUUUAAAAAAAUAAGUCGCAUUUUUUUUUGUACGAAAAUAAGUUGCAAAAGUCGAGCAAUGGUUAAUUUUCUUUUUCAAGUUUCCCAAAAAAAAAAAAAAGUUUAAUUGUUGAAGACUGCAAGCUACAUACCUGCUCCUCUUCUUCUUCACAGUAUCCUACCAACGAGACUAAGUUUCGAUGGUGUAGCCUUGAUAACAAUUCUAUCUCAGUCAAGAAUUCUUUUUCACCCUGUAGGGAUCCUUCUUCUGCACGUUUUAUGGCUACAAUUGUGUUAUCAGAUAAGAUACCUUUGUAAACUUUCCCAUAACCUCCUCGUCCAAGUUGAGUUGAACUAUCAAAGUUCCUGGUGGCUAGCGUCAUUUCUUUGAAAGUGAAAGACUUUACACCUUCAAUUCUCAUAGAAAUCUUCGACGCUGAAAAGAGUGAUAGGGAAUUCAUACCACUUUCUAGGAUGAUAUUCAGACAUGGUAGUAUCUAAAUAUUCAGUACCAUUUAAUUACUAAUCACAACUUACAUGAGUGUCUCCUUGAAGGUGGUGGGUAUCUGUUUCUGCGGCAUCUUGUGAACAAUAGCAUGACUGUUGCAGAUACACUGACAACCGAAGCAAUGGCCCCUAUUAUAACAGCUGCUAAUACACCCUUACUGAUGACCAUCCUUUGUCUCUUAACAAUCACUAUAACAAUGAAUAUAAACUUUUAAUCAACCAAAGAAUAAGAAACCACCACUCAUUUUAAAACAAUAUCAAGAUUCAGAUGAGUUAUAAGAUGCAAUCAAAAUAACAGCCGUAAACAGAUAAUUGUCUACGAAGUACAAUGCUCAGCAUGCAAGGGUAUCAAAUGUUUCUAAGCAACAUAUAAAGACUGUCAACAAUUUUGAAAAGCAUGACAAGCCCACUAGCUGUCAGUGUCUGGUACAAAAUGAAAUGUUUAUGCAAUUACAAAUUCCGUGUGCUUUUUAAGUCAUGCAGGAGUUGGCAGAAAAGCAUAUAGCAAAAUACAGCAUCAUUUCAGAACUUAAACACAAAAUCACACGACUUCAAAAAGAUGUUCAGAAACUAAUCAAAAUAUACAUACUAUUUGAAUAAGGUCCCAGCAGAUUGAACUUGAGUAGCUCAUAAGGUCCAAAGAAAUCAUUUUGAGGAAAUAGCCAUGCUGUAAAGAUGCCUCUAAUCCGCAGAACCUCACUUUCGUUAAAUGUAUAUGAGUGUGAAGCACCAUACACAGGGAAGAACUUCAACUGCAUCCGUAAGCGAUGACCCUUUUCCCACACAAAGGAACUUAUUGAUAACUGAUAAAUCUCCAAUUUGAGAUAACUAGUUAAAUAUUCUUCAAACUGCUGUAUAUAUGGAGGAAAAUAAGAAAAGCUUGGGCUUUUGAGACGAUAUUCAAUUAUAAUAGGUGAUGCACAAUAGCAUGGCACCGGGGAAGAUGGAACAUAUUCAUAGAAAUCAUCCACUGGACAUGCUUGAAUAGGGCAGUUCAUCUGUUGAGUCGAAUUUAUUGAAUCUUCAGGGAUGCCAUCUCUCACUUCAGAUUGACAGAACGGGAUUAUAUUUUCUAUGCUAGCAUUCUUGCAAAUAGGAUUUCCUUCAAGCCUGAGAAAAGACAAGUAUUUGAACUUGUAGAAGUAAAACAAUGUACAGACAAACUUAUAAUUUACAUCAGACACAAGUAAUGGGAUGUUAACCAGAAUAUAACAUGAAAUAAAGCAUAUCAUUCCCCAUAAAAGCAGGGAACUAACAUUCUAGUUAUAGGCAGCUGAAUUGAAAAUAUACCAAAAGCACAGUUCAUACAAUAUAGUUCACAAAUAAAGAACUUGGUAUUGUGUCUAUAACAACUUAAACUACUCAGACUCUUAAUUUGCAUACGAUUCCAUCACACAUCACGGUUUCUAUGACUAAUCAAUCAAGCUGCAUAUCUAAAAGAGUUUCGCCAAUUAACUGAACUGAGAUAAAUAACUUGUCCAAGCUCAAGACAAUCUACAACAAAAUCAUUAAGAUCCAUGUACUCUUUUCUUGCUUGUUUUUAUAUAACUUCCAGAAGUAUAUGUUAUAAAUAACUCUGAAUUAAGGGGGUGUAUAGAAGUCGAUUCGUUUACAGGCAUACCUCAAGGUGACAUUUGCUGGAGGAUUCAGCUCUCCUAAUAUGUUAGAGAGUGAAUUAUUCCGGAGAUCACUGCAACAUUCAGCUAACAAAUAAAUAAGUUCAAUCUAAACAUAUGUUCUAAAUGCUGCAUUGAAAUUCUUUUUGAGAAUUUAAUUGGUAGGCACUCCAAGAAAUCAAAUAGACUUGAUUAAUUUAUGCUACGGUAUAAGGUAUUUACAAUGAAAGUCUAGCUCUUGAACUAAAAGAUAUGUUCCUCCACACAGCAGGGACAGAACCAUUCAACAAAUUAUUCUCGAGCGACCUGUCAUAUAAAUCAUAAGAACAUCAUAUCACUGUGGAUAGAAGGUUAAUAGCAUAUCAUCCAGCAUCAGACCAUAACGCUUGAAUAACAAAGAGUCAUAUAUAAAGAUAUUUUAAAUAUUAAAUGUGUCAUGUAUUCUAUAAUUGGAAAUCAAAAGUUCAUCAAAGUAAAUUUAUGCUCACAAUUUCUGAAGAUGAGGAAGAUUGGAGAAACUUUCAGGAAUAGAUCCGUUAAGAUGGUUUUCUGACAGAUCACUGCAAUAUACAGAAGAACAUGCUAACAGGAUAAGUUCUUAAUAGAUCUGAUUAGAGUAUUAAAAUAGUAAUAUAAUAACGUUCAUGGUUUUUUUUUUUUUUUAUUGAUAAUUAUGUUCAUGUUUCCAAUCAUUGAAAAUUAUGGAUCAAGAUAUACCAAUAGAACAAAUUACAAGUUUACGUGGGCCAUCUACGUACAUUGUUGUCAUAUUGUCAGAAAGUCUAUGUGAUGCUAUUGGUCCAGCAAGCUGAUUCCAGCUUAGAUCUCUGUGACAUGAACCCAGUAAAAGUUAGACAAUAUAGACAUCAGCAGGGAGUAAUAACUGGAUCAGUGUCAAGAAAGAUGUCUUUUAUAGAAAGAUGCUUAUCAAACCUUCAAAGUUAUUGAACUGUAUCUGUACUUACAGAUAACUGAGGUUAGGUAUCUGGCUAAGAUCAGGAAUUGUUCCCUGCAAACUGCAGUUUCUGAGACUUCUGCCAAAUUGAAAAGAGGAAUAAAAAAUGUAUAAGCAAUCUAUCCAAGAAAAUUUAUCCAACAUGGAUAAGCAGUAUCAGCCGUAUUAUAGCAAGAAAGGAUAUUAGACCAAACUUUUGCAAGUUUCGUAAUAAAAACAGCAAUCAUUUGUUUCUCUUGCAUCUCACUCAUAGUCCAUCAACUAUGCCCUUUAUCAUCCAAAAGUAGAGAAAAAAAGAAACAAGAAAAAACGAACACAAAACAGAAUAUACUUAUAAUUAAACUUACAACUUUGGAAUAUACUUAUAAUUAAACUUACAACUUUGCCAAUCCGGAAAGGUUUCCAUAGGUAGCUGGAAUCUCAGUUCCCAUGAAGUUGUUGUUAUCGAGUUGACUACAAAAAAGAUUUAGAAAAAGGUUAUAUUUAAGAAACAUCAACAAAGCAUUUCCAGUUAAGCUUUCCGAUCAAGGGAAGAUUCAGUAGGUUGAAAUCCUGAUCAAAACAUUGCUACAUACAGCUAUAGAGAUCACAUUGCCAACUAAGAUAAUGUAAAACAGUAAAAGGAAACAAGAGCCUGGUUGUUAAUCCAACUUAGCCACUGAGUGGAAUCAGGACAUACAGUAUGCGCAACCCUGAAAUGUUGGAGAAUUCUGGUGGAAGAUAUCCAGAUAAGUUAUUAUUAUCCAAGAGCCUGUAAGCGUUUGUGUCAAUUACACACCAGAAAUCAGUGAUCGACAAGUAUUAAUGCAGAACAAUAUCCCAAUAAGGCAAUGAAAUUAUAUGAUAUAUGUAAGAUGCUAUAAAAACUCACACAUGAAGAAGAGUGGGUAUUCCAGAAAUCUCAGAUGGAAUUUGGCCACUGAAGGAGUUGUUAUUCAAGUGGCUGCAAAAGGAACAUAGAAGCACCAUUUCACACUCUUGAAAUAUAAAAUACUAGCCAACUUGAAAACCCAUUGAGAUUGAAAAUGUACUUACAGGUGUUUUAAGCUGCGCAAGUUAACAAAUGAUUUUGGUACUGGACCAGAAAGAUGGUUCUCGUCAACUUGUAGUCUAUUUAGAUUUUCAAGAUAACCAAGCUCAUCAGGCAAGGAACCUGAUAGUCUGUUUCCAUUCAAGAGCCUGCAAACAAUGUAUGAUAACUAAUGAGAGUUUGUACCUAUUCACAGAAAUCUAUAUUCAUGGACCUAAGAUCAACAUCCAGCAAUUCACAACCUUUUCAGGAUGGCAAUAGAGUUGUACAACAUAUCAUUUCUUAAACACAGUAUUGAACUUUCAAAGGUUACAUAUAUAUAAUGUGAUCUUGGCUUUACCAUUUCAUAUCAACCACACAAGUCUCAAUCAGUAUAUGAAGAAAAUAUAAGAGGAAUCAGACGGGGAUAUUACGAAGAUGCAUGAAAAUAAAUUGAAAAUAGAACAUGCAUGAACUCAACUUACAAGAGUUUCAAGGACAUAAUGUUUCCUAUCUCCUUCGGUAUAGUCCCACUUAAGUCAUUCCACAUGAAAUCUCUUUCAGAAAGGCAAAAAAAAAAAAAGAAACAAAGAUUGAAAGGUUAGCAAUAUGACUGAAAAGAUAAGCAGGAAGAAUCAACUAAACAAUGUGAUCACUGAUCAAACGAGAUGACAUGACUCACAAUAUCAGAAGUUGAGAUAGUUUGCCAAGCUCUGGUGCUAAGCUUCCUGAGAGAUUCAUACUCAGCAGUUGCCUGCAUCAAAUUUAAACUACCUAGUUAGCCUAACUCAAUUCCUAAGAACAAGUAAUUACGUACCAACAUCCAGCUAGAUUAACAAAACCAAUUUAUUAACAACACUAAAUUGAACAAGUCCACAACAAGUUACUGAAACAAGAAUACAUACAGCUCCCGGACAUGCAAGUAUCCAUCAGUCCCAACAUCACCGAAACACAAAACUCCGGUCCAAUUCGCUAUACAUGGAUCCCCUUUGUCCCCAAUUCCUCAAAUGCUUCAUGGGAUCAAUCAAACUACCCUUCACUGCCCUCAAUGCAUCAACUGCAAAUGCGCACACAACUCAUAAUCCAAUUCCCACCAUAACUAACCCAAAAAUCCUAUGUAACAGUAAACCAAUUGGGUUAAACUCCAAUUGGGUUUAGCAAACAUGUAUCAAAACUCACCUUCAGAAGGAUUUGUAACUUGUGCCACUGCAACUAGGAAGAACCAAGAACAAGCCAGAGCAAUGAGACAACCCCAAAAUUUCAACCUCAACAUUCUAACAAUCCAAAACAAGCAAUUCUCAGCAACAGAAUCAAUCAACAAACUCAAAAAACACAUAAAAGCUUGAAACUUUAUAAAGAUUUCAAAAGCAAAACGAUACCUUUCGGUUAAAGAUUUGAACUUUGAGACUUGUUGGGUGAAUUUGUGCAGAAAAUCAAAUGAUACUUAGGAUGACAAAGGGUUGUGGUACUUGGUCGUUGUCAACUCGUCAUGAUGAUGACCCUUCAUUAUAGCCUCUGAGACUAACUGUGGAGUUGGCUAUCGUCAUGGUUUGGUUGGUUGGUAGAUUUUACAGAUUAUAUAUAUCUAAUUAUUUUAAUCUGGGGAGUAAAAACUGAAAAGAUAAGUACUUGAUGAGAAACUUGGAGUCUCCUACUUCUGUGUUGUCUCUUUCCAGACUCUUCAGCUUUUCUAUCUUCUCGGCUUGAGAGUUAGUGGGAGUGUGAUAGUGAAACCUGGGGGGAGCGGGUGGACUUUUCUUUGACCAUUUCGAUUGUUCCAAACCCGCCUUUUUUUAAAGUGUUUUUGGGGGUGGGGAGACCAAUUGGAUAUUUGUUCUUUGGUUAUAAAACUCGUCUGGUUUUCUAAAAGGAGAAAAAUACCCACGUUUACUUGAAUUUUAUGCCUCCAAGUGAUUCCCUUUCACACUAUCUAACAAAAUUUAGAUCUAGAUUUUGGGUUUGGUUAAGCUUUUUCUUUGUGGGAUUGGAUUGUUUAAUCUUUGAGUGUGAGCAUUAUUGAUCAGGAUACUGGGAAUAUAUGUCAAGGUGCAUAUGCUUGUACUUUUGGGCAUAUUUUGUCAAUGUUUUUAAGUGGAGAUUAAAGUUUGACACAUACAAUGACGUUGAUAUUGUUCUCAAGUUUAGACUUUAGAUACUAGACUAGACUAAAAAGGUUUCUAGAAUUUUGUUUUUUUCUACAAGACAGCUACUUUUGUUUGUGUAAGUUAAGUUAAAUACAAUGAACAAAUUUAAGAAUUAAAUCGAAAAUUAAAUCUCGAAACAUGUUUUCUAGCAUUUGUUCAAAUGUCUCCUAUGUAAUUAUUUUGAAGUACAUCAAAAAUAUUUUUCUUUUGAGACAAUUGUCUUUAUCAUGUUCGUUGAAUUUGCAUCAUACCGUGAUCACAUUCCUCUCAAAUUCGAGUUUGUGACAUCUAGGAGAGCGUAUUCAGCGCAUCCGGGUGCGCCGCGCACCCGUCUAUCUCCGCCGCGCACCCGUCCAUCUCCGCCGUCCAUUUGACACGGACUUUUGACUUUUUCAAAAUGGACGGCGGAGAUGGACAGGUGCGCGGUGCACCCGGGUGCGCUAUAUAAUUUUCGGACAUCUAGAUCUACGUUUUUGUUCAGUAGAAAGUCGCAUAAGAUGGCUCCACAUUCACUGAUCACCAAGUCAAGACAAAAUGCAGCCCCUUCAUGAUAACUUCGAAAUUUGCCAGUGCCUUCAAUCCUUGGAUAACACAAUAGCUCAUGUCACUCCUGCUAUUCACAUUGAUCUGAUCGUUUCAUGAAGACUCGAAUCCGAAUUGUGCAGUAAAGGACAUUCAGAUGACCUAAGAACUAUCUGGAGAUUCUGAUCUGAUCAACCCCAAACACUUCAGUGGAUUAAAAUAGUUGUACACAGCUCAGAUCCUCAGAUUGUGUAGGGUUUGGUGAGGUUGAUCCUUUUGAAGUUUAAAGAAUAUCUGGAAACCGGAAUCGUCAAAUGAGAGAUGUCAUUUUCUCUCUUUGUCCAUAAAGCCAAAAAAUAAAUAUUCUAUAUUUUUAAGGGUAUCGAUCUCAGUUUUUCAUGUGGAUCAUAUAAUUUCAGAAAGACAAGCCAGGCUGCCAUUGGGAGAAUUGCAUACUCUGGUCUUGCAUAUGGAUCCCUUGCAUAUGUGGUGUCACCUUCCAUUAUUGAUAAGUGAUUGUGUCCACAAAUAAAGGAUGGUUAGUAAUGGGGAUCAGUCAGUUCAUUUCAAGUGGCUAGGUGACAGUUUCAAGAUGUAGAAGUCACAAUUUCAAAUUUGUAAUACUGGGUUUGAAAUGUCUCAGGAUGAUGGAAGAUGAUCCAAAAGAAGCUGCCCUUUUUACCACGUAGGUUUUACACCAACUUGUCUUGCAAACAUUUACCAUGUAGAUAGGUGAGUUGGUAAUGUGUUCUUACUCAGUCUAUUUGCAGCGCUAAGCCAGUAGUACAAACUACAAACCAAAUUAAGCUCCUCUGAGUGGUAACUAAAACUUUGGGUACCAAAACAUGCCUUUGAUGCCCUCCGGGUCAGCUUCAAAACCCAAAUUUUGAUAGAAAUCCACGACUGCAAUGACAAUGUAAGAAAACAAAGUCUAAGAACAAGAACGUCCACAUCAAUACUUAAUGCUAAAGCAGGCAACACCACAAAGUGGUAGCACUAGAGCAGAUCUAGUUGUGGAAAAAGGAGACUACUGUAGAAUUUGUGGCAAAAGAUUGGUAUUGAGACCAUGAUAAUUAAUGAUUAAUAUGACACAGAGUCGCACACUUUUAACCAAAUUGUAUCAGUAUGGCUAUUAGUAUGACAAUGGCAGACAGGCUGAUCUAUUGGAACAAUUUAAAUAGCACUCAAAGCAUAAUGGCAUAAUAAGUGAAAUGGCUAUUAAUAAUGACUACAAUACCUUGACUAUCUGCAAAUAGUGAAAUAUUGCCAAUGUCCCUCUGCAGAAGAGCCCUUAUAAUCUUUUCAACUAGGGUCUUUCCAAGGCCUUGUCCCUGAAUGAUAAAGAGAUAUUAAAAAAAAAGGACGCAGUUUGCAGAGAAUUGUGGAAACAUAUUAUGACAUUAAUGCUUAGAUUUAAGAAACAAUGUUCAAGCCCCAACAUACCUGAUAGCUAGGAUCAACUAGGACAUCCCAAAUUGUGGCAUUGAACGCAUGGUCAGAUGUAGCUCGCGCCAACCCAAUUAGCUUCUUCUGGUCAUACCCGUCUGUCAAAUAACUUCUCCAAGUACACUAAGAUGUUCAUGAAAUAGUCUUAGAUGUAGUAACAAAGCAUGAAAAAGAUUACAAUACCAAUUGCGUGGAAGUGAAGGAUGCUGCAACGAUAUCCUAUUCAUAUGUACCUGAUCCUGGUGAUUUCCGAACCGAAUGUAAUGUGGCUACCAUGUAGCUAUUUUUCAAAGCUGCAGCCAGUUUUGAAAGUGGCCUGCGAGGCCAGCCUACCUAUUUAACAACACAAAUACGCGUUAAAGUGAUUUGAGUUUUGCCAGUGGAUAGAAGAUAAAAGACAAUCCUCAUAUGUUCUCACUGGAGUGAAAGAACAUAUUUAUCUCUUAUACAGAAAAGUUACAGCUGAAACUUCAGUAAAACAUCAACUAGGUAACAUAUGUGUACAGUAAGUGGACUCCUGAAUGUCUAGGAAGAGUUCCUUAGAGACAAGUGGAUUAAGCAGGCAUUAACAACCUAUUUCUGUAUAUGCAUGUGCAAAAGAAGUAGCAAACUAGCAAUAAGAAAGUAAUUACCUUAUCGCAGAGGGAUUGAAGAUCAUACACAUCAACAUCUCCACCAGAAGAAAAAAUUAUUUCUUCAACUGUUCCAUCUGGUUCAGUCUUUUCAAUGAGAACCAACUCUUCAGGAAGGGGUUCUUCCUCUUCUGCAAGUGUGGAUGGUGGUUCCACUACUUGUGUUGUGUUGUUGCUUAAGAUACUGCAAAAAGAAGUGAAUUAAGGACCUUCAUAAAUUGAUUCUAUGUGAGAGGAGGGUUAGCAGGUGGCAAUUAGCGAUACACACACAUAUAGACUGAUGAAAUAAAAUGUAAAUCUUUUGCAUGAUACACUACUUGUCUUCAACUAUUAUAAAGUUCAUAAGUACAUAGUGGUUGAAGCAUUCAGAUUAUAAGAAAUAGUAUCAUUCAAGCAUGCCGUCAAUCGGCAUUAAACAUUUAUCCACAAUUGUAAGUAACAAAGACCAGCAAAUCGUUUUCUCUCAUUCUAUUCGACAUUCUAUAAUUAUAGUUGACUGACUAAGUGCUGAAACCAAAUAAUGUGUCAUUUUUCCCCGACAUAAAGCACAAUUUGACCAGUUUCUGAAAACAAUCUCACCUAUGUGCUCGCUUCAAAAGCAUUAAUGAGCAACUAAGCACCUAUAAGUUAUAACUUUCUAAUUUGAAUGGUGAACAAGGUAUGUAAAAUACUUCCACAUCCGGUGUGCGAAUUAUAUGCAGACAUGUUGUGUUAUAGUACUCAUAUCAUCACCAAGAGUGGAUAUCGACAAUUACCCAGAUUUAAUUGAUUCCCAAAAGCCAGCCUUGAGUUGAUAUGUCUUAUGAAUUCUGCUUCCUGCAUAAAAAUAUACCAAAAGCCUCAAACUUUUCCAUCAUAGCUCAUUACAAAGAGUAAUUACUAAACUCUAACACUCAUUACACUGCAAAAAUGGGCAAUUAUGCGUACCUUUAAUAAGGCCGUGGCUUAAAUUGCAAGGAAACAAUAACUUAUUUGAUACUUGAAGACAACCCAAAUCAAACGAAGCAAUAGGGCACCUGCCACAAAUAUAAAACGGAGAGGGCAUCAUUUUCUUGAACCCAUAAACACACAUUUCACUCCACCAUCAUCAAGUAAAUUGAACCCAAUGGUUACUGCAAAUAGAUUCUAAAGAAACAUUCUCUAUGUAAUUAAAAUCUCUCAAAACCAAGGAUGUUCAUUGUUAGAGUCAUGGUUACAUGCAAAGCAACAAACUUUGAGUUCAAAGCGAAACUUCCAAGAGAUGAUUGAUGAACUGAACUAGAUUGGAGUUUGAAUUGAAACAGAUAUGAGAACUAGUUUGUACUUACAGAGGAUAGAAGGCUCUGAGCGUAGUAGGCAUGUUGUUGGUAAGGAACUGUGUGACGGUAGCUCUACUGGUGUGGAACUGUGGAUGGAUAUUUCGCUUGCUUUCAGAAACCACUCUCCACUCCUUUCCCUUUGAGAAAUGAGAUGACCACGGAGGCAACUCACUAGCAAAAUUUCUGACAUUGGAUUAUUCCCUAUGGGGUACACACAACUUUUGGUUUCCCCUCGUUGCCCUACCUCUUUAGAACAUAUUACACACUGCCAUUAUGAGCUAAAAAGUGUCUUACUUGCCGAGUCAUUCGGCUAGUACAUAACCAGAAGGCACGCUUAUGUCAGUUAGACAAUGGCUACUCGGGCAAUGGAAUGACCAAUAACAAUGCUUCAAUCUUUGAGCAAGAAAAAUUGCUUCAAUAAGCAUAGAAAGAUGAAAAAAUGAUAAUACAUAAAUCUACCGAUACAUUUAGUUUCAAAAAGAAAAAUAUACAGAAAAGUGAUGUAACUACAUAAUCUUUUGAAACGUGGUUAUGGUUUAAAACAUUAAAAAAGACAGUUUAGUUGUGAUUUCAGCCUCACAACGAAUAGAAAGGAAGCAUAGUACAUAAUUCAAUUUCAUGCAAACACAAUAACGUGGUAGACCCAUAUGGACCAACUAAUAAUAGUCUAGUCACUCUAGUUCAUAGAAGAAAAUCAUUUGAUGCCACUAAGGCUCACUUCCUGGUUUGUUCAUAAUGCAUUCUCAGUCAACAAAGCUUCAAAAAUCAAAUAAUUUAGUCCGAGUAUAAAGAGAUUGGAGCAUGUAGCCAUGUACUUCUGCAAUUCUCCCUCUCUCUAAUAAUAGCAUCUUUUAUUGAGUUCCGAGCCACCUCUGUCACUUUCAGUCCACGCUACCACUCUUUUCCAGUAUCAUCUUUUCAGUGCCCUCAUUCUGAUCUUUCUUUGUUCGAAAAAUGGUCUCCUAAAUUCUGCUUAAUACAAUUUACUCCACCAAUUGAUGAACAUUUAGAACCAUGGAGUUGCACAAUAACGGCUUCCAGCUUUUGAAAAUUUGAAUAGAGCCUGCAUUAGAUUAGAUUAGUCCCAAACCAGACAAAGCACUUCUUUUUCUCUGUUUAAUUAUGCUUAUCUCUUAGCACAGAAACAGAAAAAGCAAGAACGCAAUACAAGACAAAGGAAUGAUGAAGAAACAGAAGCAAAAGCAAAAGUAGCUGCAGUAGUGCCAGCAAGCAUGUCCCUCCAGCAAAAAGAAGGUGGCGCGGGUGUGAUUUGAUCCGCACCAAGGGGCCAUUUAAGUAAAAAGGAAACUGAGAUAAAGAGAAUCAAGGAAUGAAUGAAUGAAGCUCGUCAUCAUCAUGAUCCAAAACACUGUUUGAGAUUCAGUGGUGGUUUUAAUGGGAAUGGUUUCUGAGAACCCUUUUGCUUUUUCUAACCGUUCUCCUAAGCUCUCCAACUCCUUCACCACUCGGUAUAACCCUUUCUCUCUUCUAGUCUUUUUUCAAAAUGUCUGUUUACUCUUUAGCUGUCAAGUUUUGAAGUUCAUGUUCCUGUGUGCAAGUGUUUUGCUUUGUAUUUAGUUGCAUAAUAUGAACUUUCUGUUUGUGUAGCUCAUGUUUUGUAGUCCUUGUCUGGCCUUGUUGAGUCUAUUAUAGUGCUGAAGUACAAUUCUUGAACGAGUGGUUUAUAGAUUUGUUCAGAUAAUUAAAAUAUCAAAUAGAACUUGACAUUUUAUAUUGAUGGCUUCUUUACACAUACUGUUCUUAUAAGGAUUUGGAUGGGAAGUUGUUGAUCUAUUCAUUCAUGCGAGAAAUAAUUAAAUCGAAGAUCUACGGUUUACAUAUAUCAUUUCAUGUUAGCUCUGGCAGCUUGUUGGUGACCUGGUGUUUUGGCUAUUAUUGACUUUUAAUAUGUGCUAUAGCAUCUGCAAAGAAACUGGUUGAUCUUUGGUUCUAGAGCCAACAUUGAGAAUUGAGAUUUUUUUUCAUUCUCAUUUGCAAUCUUUAUGUCCUUUUGCUUGUAGAAUUGAAUGUUGUUGAAUAAAUGAUAAACUUGGGUGUGGAGAACCCCAAUUCUUUGCUGGUCAUACUUUUUAGUCAAUCAUGCUGGUUGUUCACUUUUUAUAUUGGAGGUUUUAUGUUCAUGCAGUAUCUUUUCGGAUGUUGCUGGGGACAUUACAAUUGUUGUCGAUGGAGAAUCUUUCUUACUGCACAAGGUAAUCUCAUAACUUAACAUGUGGCUUUAGAGGCCAACUCACAUCUGAUAGCAAAGAUGUUGAAGUUUCAAUUGGUGAAGUUCAUUGCCUUUGUAGCCUUACGUUUCUGUUUUGUUGAAGUUUCCAUUGGUGUCUCGAAGUGGAAAGAUUCGGAAAAUGGUUGCAGAUGCCAAGGACUCAGCUGCAAAAUUGGAGCUCCACAACAUACCAGGAGGACCACAGGCAUUUGAACUUGCAAUGAAAUUUUGUUAUGGCAUGAAUUUUGAGAUCACAAGCGCAAAUGUUGCCCAUCUCCGCUGUGCUGCUGAAUACUUAGAAAUGUCUGAAGACUAUAGGGAUGAAAACCUUAUUGAGCGAACGGAGAUUUACUUGAAUGAGGUUGUAGUUCAAAGUCUUGAGAAGUCGGUGGAAGUUCUCACCACUUGCCAGACGCUACCUCCUAUAGCCGAGGAGGUUGGAAUUCCAAGCAGAUGUGUGGAGGCUAUUGCCACCAAUGCCUGUAAGGAACAAUUGAUGGCAGGGUUGUCCAUGUUAAAUUGUGAUGGUGAAUCAGCUGAGCUCAAGAGUGGUUGUCUCGAUUGGUGGGUUGAAGAUCUCUCAUUGCUAAGGAUCGAAUACUACCAGAGGGUUAUUUUUGCCAUGGCAAGAACAGGUGUUCGACCAGAUAGCAUUGUUGCAUCUUUAAUGCAUUUUGCUCAAACAUCCUUAAAGGGUAUUGGAAAAUGUCAAAUUUGGAAAAAGCCAGAUAGCUUACCAGAACAUGACCAGAGGACUAUUGUGGAAACCCUUAUAAGCUUAAUGCCAACAGAUAAAAGCUGUUCGGUGCCACUGAGUUUUAUGUUUGGAAUGCUGAGGAUGUCAAUCAUGGUAGAUGCUGCAAUCGCCUGCAGACUAGAGAUUGAGAGGAGGAUUUCUUAUAGGUUGGAGAUGGUUACACUAGACGAUAUUCUUAUACCAUCCAUUUAUGCAGGGGGUUCACUUUAUGAUGUUGAUACCGUUCAUCGAAUAUUGGUGAACUUCCUACAGCGGAUUGAAGAAGAAGAAGAUGAUGAAGACUGUGGAUAUGAGUCGGAAUGCAUUGGUAGUUCUCCAAGCCAUGGUUCAUUGUUGAAAGUUGGACGGCUUAUUGACUCAUAUUUAGCUGAAAUUGCUCCUGAUCCAUACCUCAGCUUGCAAAAGUUUGUUGCUAUGAUUGAAGUACUACCUGAUUAUGCUCGAGUCAUCGAUGAUGGACUUUACAGGGCGAUUGAUAUAUAUUUGAAGGCAAGUCAUCAACAUAUAGCAAUUGUAUAAGACAUGAUCUUGUGUAUUUUUUAUGUCAUAAGACAUGUUUCUUGAAUUGACUUAAUGUUCAUGUUUAGGUACAUACAAUGCUAACUGAACAAGAAUGCAAGAAGCUUUGCAAGUUCAUCGACUGUCAAAAGCUCUCUCAAGAAGCCUGCAACCAUGCUGCACAAAAUGAUCGGCUCCCAGUACAGUUGACAGUGAGAGUUCUCUAUUUUGAGCAGGUCCGAUUGAAGACUGCACUCUCAGGAAACUCUGGAGAUGGGUUUGUCUCGCAGAGAGUAAGCAGCGGGGUACCAAGUGCAGCCAUGUCCCCCCGAGAUAACUAUGCUUCAUUGAGGAGAGAAAACCGAGAACUGAAGCUGGAGAUCUCAAGAAUGAGAGUGAGGCUGAGCGAGUUGGAGAAAGAGCAAUUGUUUAUGAAACAAGGAAUGAUGGACAAGACAGGAAAUGGCAAAACUUUCUUGACCUCAAUCUCUAAGGGAAUUGGAAAGAUGGUAAUUUUUAGUGGUCAAGCAGGAGGUAAACGACAAAAAUCAAGUAGGAAGUCUCGGGGAGUGGAGGGGAAAACUGGUAGGAGUAGGAGGCACUCCCUUUCCUAGGUAACUUAGAAAGUUUUUAAUCCUGUAGAAGUUCAUGUUCUGUCACAUGCCUCAUCAACGUCUUACUUGUGAAGGGAGCCUGGAGUUUGAACACAGUUCUAACCAAGAGGUCAGGUUGGACAUGAAUCCCAUCUUAUGUAUGGUCUAAAUGUUUGUGUAAGUAGUUACAUUGAUCUUUGAAAUGUCACUUCUUUUGCAAAGUCUCUGGUAGUCUUUCCCUAACACUUUUCUAAUUACAACAUAAUUAGUGAGGGGUUUUGUUUCUCAGCUUUCAAUUAUAUGCAAAUUUGCUGAAGCAAAAAUAGGUAAACAGUAUACAUGUUAUGAAUUACCUUGCCCCUAUAACAAUAACUUGAGAGGCAGCUGAACACUGUUAUUGUUUUGAAAGCAUAGUUCAUAUCUCAGAAGUGAUUAAGAAAAUGCCAACCCAGAAGAGAAAGUUUUGCUAGUAGAAAUCUUGGACAAGCUUAAGCUUAGAUUUGCUGAUGAUGCACUUGUUCAUCCUAAAAGGCGCUUCCUGAUCUGCAGUGAAAGCCAAAACAAGACAUUAAUCCUUAAAUGUACUUGUUUUCUGAUAUCCUCACUCUGUUAAACAAGAUUCACCAUCUCUGUUCUUGGUCACUGAUACUAGUAAAGUAAGUGAUUGCUAGCAAAGGAUUGAUCCAUGAAUACCAACCUGAGGCAGUUUCUGUCUGAAGACGACAUCCAAUCGUGCAUCUAGAGUGUUUUCACACACUAUCUUUCCAUCUUGAGAAGCCAACACCACUCCACCCGAACUUGUAAACAAUCAAACAGAAAGAAAUAAGUGACAAUGAAAUACAUGUAACUAAGUCAUGCAGCAAACAGCAACAUUAGCAAGGCUGGCUAAUCAAAGUGUCUCAUCUACAAUGUGCACAUGUAUAAGCAGAAAAUUGUAUGACAAACUAGAAACCAGAAUCAAUGAACUGCGAAUAUAAGGGAGUUGUUCUUACCAAAAUUGUUCAUGGGAAUCGCCACCCUUUGGAGGCGGUGGGAGAUACACUCGAUCAUCAAUGGUAACUUUGGGUGGAGCGUUUCCUUUAUCAGCAUAAGCUUUCUUUGCUUCCUCUAAAACAGACUCAACAAGCUUCUUGUCAACCUCUCGGCAUCUCAGCAGCACUGCUGGCUCCUUCAGCCGAAACAAACUCUGCACAUUUCCAAUUUUGCAACUUCGAUCAGUACUUAACUUACAUCUACAUCUCUAUGGUUUUCGUACCACAUUAUAAUAUAUGCUACCUGAACAAUCAAGUCUUUCAUGAGCUUCUUGUAAGCCUUCUUGUCCUCCGAAACACGCACAAGUUCCUUGCCCGCAGCUUCUUUCAUGGAAGUUAUUAUGUCAUCUUGUGCUUGCAGAACUUUUAUGCGCGACGCAUUCAGUUGCAUCGAAUAUUCACUGUGUAGGUAACAUAUAUUGAACAAAUGAUCUCAAUCAUAACUUGAACAAAGUAGGUAACAUAUUGGCACACAGUAAAAAUUUAGAAAUUGGUUAUCCUACGAAGACAUUAUGCUUCAUGUGCAGCCCCAAAAUAUGUUUAGGGCAACAGUAAAUUUCUUAGUAAGCAUGGAAUCCAUAAAACCCUCACAUUUUCCUUUUAACCUCGACCUGCUUUGCCUUGCGUUCAUAUUCUUGUCUGAUCUUCUUCUUCUCCCCUUCGGCUAUUUGCAGUUUCUCAAUGUUAAACUCCUACACAACUCUACAAAUCAGAACAAAGCAAAGAGAGCAUGAUCAUUAAUUAGAAUGUAGAUAGUGAGAAACUAAUCGAGAAGAUCAUCACCUCCUCUGCAGAAACGGAAAUCUCAUUGGCUUUUUCUUCAGCUUCUUGCCUAAUGAAUCUGACCAUCUGCUGGAUCUGCUUCGACACGUCUGCAUCGUUCAUCUUUUCAGAAGAACAGUGAUUCUAUGAUAUGAUCGUUAACAAAGAAUGUGUGUUACAGAGUGUUAAUAGUGUAGAAUGCUCAAAGAAUUUCAAUGGAAUUUGGAAAAUUAGUAACCAGAGAUGAGAAAUAAGCAAUUCUUCAUGUGUCUGUUUGUGGAUGCGAAAUUUCGUGCGAAACAUUACUUCCGUUACGACGUUGAAUACUUCCAAAAUCUCCACAAUUAGCGCGAAAAUCUCCAAAAAGUAAUUUUUUUUUUUUUUUUUUUUUUGUGAGGGACAGCAAUGGAACUUACAUGAAAUAUAAUCCUUCAUGCCAUUUAUGUUGGAAGCCUAAUGAAUUUUCAUCUGAUCCUAAAUGUAUACCUUCUAUGUUACAUAUGAAUGAUAUGCCCAUUUAGUUUAAAAAGACAUUUAUGUGAGUUUUGAAGAUGUGAAAUAUUGGAAAUAACUAAACAAUAUAAAAAGAAUAGUUAAGUCCUCAGAUUCAAUCCGAGCAUGCAGAUGGUAGGUCUUGGAAAUUUAGCUAUAGAUUUAGGGAUUACAGAUAUUGAAUUCUACUAUGAUAAUUUAAAGAUUAGAGUUUCGGAUAUCUCAGUUUCAACAACAUAGAACUAAGAGAUUAUAGGGCAUUUAUUCCUGAACUUUCGGAAAAUGUCCUGAUCUAUCUGUAUUUCAAUCACAAUCAAUAAAACUAAAUUUUCUUAGAUUAUUAAAUAUAGCACCAAAAAGUAGCAAAAAUUACUUGUAUAUUCGAAAGAAUGUUUGUCGUAAUCAUUAUCAGUAAUUCAAAUUUGAUCCCAAAAUGUAGCCUUGUGGUUUAGGCCACUCGACAGUCUAGAACCGAGCGUUUCCAAAAUUGAUAAAAUUAAGUAGAGAAGUUACUUCAGACCAAAAAAAAAAAGGUAGAGAAGUUACAUUAUUUAAGCCAAAGAUAUUAGUUCUGAUCCUUGUUCAAUUGAAACUAUUUUCUUAAAUCUCUUGAAAAUAUGGAUGGUGGAUUGAUGUCAUGAUGCCAUGAUGUGUUGUACUCAAAUACUUUCCAGAAGUACGCGAAAUAGACAUUUAUAUGGAAGAGCGACGAGCUUCUUAUGAUGUUGCAGCUGCCUAGCUCGAUCCUGCGACUUAAUUUUGUACUCAAAUUCUCGAGUAAUUUUCAAAUUCACAGUGGUGAAGGGUAAAUAUAAAUUAAACCUUUUCGUUCAUGUAGAAUUGUAGAUAGUGUUGUUUCUGUUUCAGGAAACAUUUUCAGAUGAAUAAAUAUUAUAAUUUGUUUUGCUCCGUACGUUGCUGCUGGUAGCUAGAUGACCUAACCGGCCUUUACAUAUUCUGGUUUACUGCAUGCAUCUACUUUCUUACAAUUCAGAAGGCCUCCACUAAUGUGAUUUCGGUGGAGGCUUGUAAAUUGGGAUACAUAUUGCAAUUAGCUAGUGAUUAAGGAACAAAGUACAUGGGAUUAGGAAGCUUAAACGUACGGUUGCCUACAUAAUCUCCAUGCAGGUCACUCCAUUGAUCUCCUAUAUUCCCCCAUAUCCUGUAACCUUCUUCCACCAGUUUCUUCCUAAUCGCCGACUUGUACUCCACCGCGCUCUGCCCUUUGUAAGCUGCCGUCCUGUGAUCGAGUACGUUAUUAAGUACAUAAUUAAUGCCACAAAGAAAAAAGAAUGUUAAAUCUAAUUAUGCAAUUAAUCAAGUAGAGAUUAGAGAACUAGCUAGAUGGUUUAUGCGAUUUCUCAAUCGAGAUUAGUGUUGGUUUAUAUGCUGAAGUAAUUAAAGCAAGCAGGUUAACUGAUUAAUAAUGAUCAUUAAGAAAUAUAUAUUUAUUCAUGAAUCAUUUUUUUUUUUUUAUUUUUUUUAAAGAAGGCAUGAAUCAUGUUGUAGUAGCUAGUCAACGUAAAUAUAAUUUUGAUGGUUGAUGACUUGAUGUAUGCAAAAUUUUCUUUUAUUUUUAUCUUUUAAAAGUAGUGGAACCUAUAUAUCAUAUCAUUUGUAUAUGGAGGAAGCCAUUUUCGUUGCAUGUGUUUUGACUUGGGAUAAAUCCAAAUCAUAAAACUACAAUUAGCAUGUCGAACGUGGAUUUUGACUAAUCCCACCACUAAUCACUCCCGAGAUAAUACAAUUCAAUCAUUCUGCAUGCUUGUUCGAUCUUCUUCUUCCUUUCCAAUUGAAUUGAACCAGUCAAAUGAAUCAGGAUAGGCCUUAUGAUCGAGUGGUUGUGGAACUUGUGGGAGAAUAAGUCAUAUUAACAAACAAAAUGAUCGAGGCAAUAAGCAAAUCAUUGUUUGUUUGUGUUUUUUUUUGUGGUUGAUUCAGAUCAUUGUUUUGUUGCAAAAAUAUCAUAUGUGUGUACACUGACCUCAAAAUGAGCCGUUCAUAACCAAGAAAUCCUUGAUUAUGCAGAUUCUCAAUAGUGACUUGACCUAGUGUUUCUUCACCUCUUCCGGUAAGCAAAAUAACCUUAAAUCCACUAUUCACCAGCUUGAUAAACAAUCCCAACAUAGCAGGAAUUGCCGGACACCCUCCUGUCAUCGCCCAUGCUUUGAACGCAGAUGGAUCAUAAGGGUCACACCUACAUAUAAAUUACAGCGCCAUUAUAUUUACCAUGCUAUAUUGUUCAGUUACUGCUAAUAUAAAUCCAGUAGCUACUAUACUUACCCGUAUCUCUUUCCCUUGUAGUAAUAGACAUUGGAUAUGCAAGUGUCGUCCACAUCCAAAAUCCAUGCAUCCUUGCCGUCAUCCGAGGGAACGAUUCCGUUCACAUAACUCGUAAUUUCAUCAACAAUGAAUUCGACGUCGCGGUCGUACUGUCCUCCGGUCAUGUAUGUUUGGAGAUAGAGAAAGCACUGUGUUGGCACAGUGCGCCACCCACGCACAUUGUUGGCCUCCACAGCCAGUCUCCAGCUCAAACAAAAGCUGCCACAGUCGGCCGGUUGCGGGGGCUUACAGCAAGGCUGCUUCAUGCCGGUGGCCUUGUAGAACAAAGCCAGAACCAGAAACACCAGCAGCUCCUGGGUUCGUUUCAUCAUUGUUCUAAUCAUAUAUACUUGCCUGGUUUUGGAACCUAAUUGACAACAAAUUAAACAACAGCAUAAGGGAACAUAUAUGUGAAAUGCAAGAACUUCGUAUCUUCAAGCUAGCUGACACGUUCUAUAUAACAAAAAGAGAGUAGGUCGUGUUGACGAAAUCUUGUAGAUGGGUAAUGGUGUGUUAUUUUCGUGUUUUCAACUAAGAAAGAGUGCUUGUGGCAUGGAAAAUGACAUGCAUGUUUGGCUUAAGCUUCUGUAUAGGGAUCAAUAAUUUGUAUCUGAUUGUAAACUAUAUAAUAUACCUUGAGGGUAGUGAGUGAUUUGUGAGGAAAUUGAAGGAGUAUAGACAAUGACCAAAGACUUCUAUGACUUGCAUAAAUUUCAAACGUCCAAUCAAACAAGCUAGGAAAUUUCCUGUUAGCUAGGAAGGAUGGUACUCCAAACAUAUAUAGAAAAUUCAAUUUAUAAAAUCAAGAAGGCAUAUAUCCAUGUCUACCUUGUUAAGAAAGAGGAGGGAAUAAAUUUCAAACAGGAUUUGAUAGCUGAUGCAGAGAAGUUAUUCUUACUUUGUAGUAAAAUAUUACAAACAAAAUAAUCUUGGAAUACAAGGUAUAUGAUAUAGGCACAAAACAUGACCCUUUCCUAUUUCUUUGCUAUCCUAGAAAGUGCCUCUAGCUAGAUCUCUAUGUACGUAUGUCUUUCAGGAGGGAAUGCAAAACUUUGUACUAGUACGUUUAUGUGAUUUGAAAGUAAGGAACUUAAUUAAGUAAGAUGGAGGAGCUGAAAGUUCUUGCCAACGUAAAUUGAAAAUACUGAAAAGAAAAGGUGACUUAUUCCGAUUGUCCAAUUUAGAACGUGAUAUGCAUCACUUAUGCUACGUAUGCAAAACUACGUAAUAUAAGUUGUUGGAUCAUGGAUGCUUGUAAUUUGUGUUUAUCGACUGACUUGUAAAAGUCUAUAGUCUCGAAGUCUAGACUAGCUACUCGACGUAUUGAAGGGCUAAAUGAUCUUGAUUAUAUUCGGUUAACGUCUGAAUCAUUACACAUCAACAGUUGACAGUCGUGUUUUCAUUUCUAACUCUUAAAAAAGAGUCGACAGUCGUCUACAAAUUAACAUUAUAGUGUCUAAUUAGUAUGUAGCGAGGAAUGCAUGAGAACGAUCUACAAUGUAUAACGUACAGCUAGCUAAUUAAGCAGCUGGAAAGAAAGAUUAACAAACCUCAAAAGGUGGAACACAUACGAACUGUGAUCCUUGACUAUUUUCAAGCAGAUUGGCUGAAGAUCGAGUAGCUAGUAUACCAGAUAGCUAAUUGCGAGAAUAUGAUAUGCUUAUCAAGAUGGAUUAGGCAUAGAAAUGAAAGCUCUUGUCAAUCCUUAUAAGGUAACAAAAGUGUCUGGUGGUGGUGGACUUGUGGGUGGCGACGUCAGAAACCACAAGCAACGGUGGUGGACUGGUGGUGGAAAGACAGGUGUGAGAAAAGCGCAAGCUCCGCCAUAUAUGGUUUGUUUCUUUUGUGUUUUCACUCUAUCAAUUAGCAUAUAUUAUUUCACUUUGUUCUACUUAUUCGAAAGAAAUUAGCUCAGUUGAGGGCGAUGAGCAGAAGAUUUUAAUCCUCCAAACAGCAGAAAGAUUAAUUGGAGAUUGGUCGACUAGCUACCAUUGCCAUAUAUAUUGGUUUAGUACGUAGCAUUCGAGUGAAAACCUAGAUUCGAAUACGUCAAAUAAUUUCUCGAAGUGGCCGGGAAUAUAUCAUGGAAUCGAGUUAAAUUAUAUCUAUGUUGGAUCAGACAGUGAUCAAUUGGUUGUUGCUGUUAUACCAAUUCGAUCAUCAGAGAACUUAUAAAAAAAAAAAAUUCGAUCAUCACAGCACCGAGCAUCACACCAGAGUGGGUGAAUGGAAUUAUAUAAGUAGAGGAAUAUACUAGAAGAAAGGGCUGUACGUAUGCUGAUGAGACCGGCCAACGAAUGACAUUGAGGAUGUUGAAGUAGUGGGAGUAGUUAAGCACAUUUGAGAGCACUAGUGUAUAAACCAUUGAGAAUGCUCUGUGGUGAAUUUGGGAGACGUCUUUCGUCAGGAUACAAAUUUGCCGACCAUCUUUAUUUACCCACUAAAAUAUCUACUUUUUUAAUUUAUUAACACAUAUAACUUGUAUUGCUAGGAGGGCUUCAAAGACAUGACAUAACAAUGCAACGUGGAGUAGCGUACUCAAUGACAAAAGAGUCAACGAGAUGAUCAUAUGUAUGAGACAUUUAUAUAUAAAUAAGGACAUGAUAAUAUAUAUAUAUAUAUAUAUNNNNNNNNNNNNNNNNNNNNNNNNNNNNNNNNNNNNNNNNNNNNNNNNNNNNNNNNNNNNNNNNNNNNNNNNNNNNNNNNNNNNNNNNNNNNNNNNNNNNNNNNNNNNNNNNNNNNNNNNNNNNNNNNNNNNNNNNNNNNNNNNNNNNNNNNNNNNNNNNNNNNNNNNNNNNNNNNNNNNNNNNNNNNNNNNNNNNNNNNNNNNNNNNNNNNNNNNNNNNNNNNNNNNNNNNNNNNNNNNNNNNNNNNNNNNNNNNNNNNNNNNNNNNNNNNNNNNNNNNNNNNNNNNNNNNNNNNNNNNNNNNNNNNNNNNNNNNNNNNNNNNNNNNNNNNNNNNNNNNNNNNNNNNNNNNNNNNNNNNNNNNNNNNNNNNNNNNNNNNNNNNNNNNNNNNNNNNNNNNNNNNNNNNNNNNNNNNNNNNNNNNNNNNNNNNNNNNNNNNNNNNNNNNNNNNNNNNNNNNNNNNNNNNNNNNNNNNNNNNNNNNNNNNNNNNNNNNNNNNNNNNNNNNNNNNNNNNNNNNNNNNNNNNNNNNNNNNNNNNNNNNNNNNNNNNNNNNNNNNNNNNNNNNNNNNNNNNNNNNNNNNNNNNNNNNNNNNNNNNNNNNNNNNNNNNNNNNNNNNNNNNNNNNNNNNNNNNNNNNNNNNNNNNNNNNNNNNNNNNNNNNNNNNNNNNNNNNNNNNNNNNNNNNNNNNNNNNNNNNNNNNNNNNNNNNNNNNNNNNNNNNNNNNNNNNNNNNNNNNNNNNNNNNNNNNNNNNNNNNNNNNNNNNNNNNNNNNNNNNNNNNNNNNNNNNNNNNNNNNNNNNNNNNNNNNNNNNNNNNNNNNNNNNNNNNNNNNNNNNNNNNNNNNNNNNNNNNNNNNNNNNNNNNNNNNNNNNNNNNNNNNNNNNNNNNNNNNNNNNNNNNNNNNNNNNNNNNNNNNNNNNNNNNNNNNNNNNNNNNNNNNNNNNNNNNNNNNNNNNNNNNNNNNNNNNNNNNNNNNNNNNNNNNNNNNNNNNNNNNNNNNNNNNNNNNNNNNNNNNNNNNNNNNNNNNNNNNNNNNNNNNNNNNNNNNNNNNNNNNNNNNNNNNNNNNNNNNNNNNNNNNNNNNNNNNNNNNNNNNNNNNNNNNNNNNNNNNNNNNNNNNNNNNNNNNNNNNNNNNNCCGUAUCUAAAACGGACUGUAUAUAUAUAUACACAGGCCGGAUAUGGAGCGGACGUCCGCACCGGCCUUAAAAUGUGGACGUCCGUCCGUUCUCCACCCUCUGGCGCCGGCGACGGCGCGCCUCCACCCCAAAAGACUCCAGCAGCGUCCCCGACCACUUUCCCUCCCCGGCGAGUCCGUUCUUUUCCAGUUUUCCGGCGAGAUCACCCAAAACUUCAAACAAAGUCGAUCUCGCCGGAAAACUAGAAAAAAACGGACUCACCGGUGAGAGAAAGUGGUCGGGGAGGCUGCUGGACUAGUCUUCUGGGGUGGAGGCGCGCGGUCGCCAGCGCCGGACGAUGAAGAACGGAGGGACGUCCGCACUCUCAUCCUCUUUGUGUGUGUAUAUAUAUAUAUAUAUACAGGGCCCUUCCACUAAGGGAUCCCUUAUUAUGACUUAUAUGAGGGAUUGAGCAUUAGACUAACUUUUCGAUCAUAUUUUUCAAUCUUAACCAUUCAGUUUUUAGGUCCUAAUAUGUAGAUCACUUCUGCAAAAUUUCAUCCAAAUUGAUGAUCGUUAAGGUGCUCAAAACUGCAAUUUUCAUGAACGGUUCAGGAUUAGCAGAUUUGAACCGUCCAUUGAUUUAAGCUAGUUCGAAGCCUUAAAGAUCACCAAUCUGGCUGAAAAUUUCCAGAAAUGAUCUACUCAUAUAUACCUAGAGGUUGAAUGGUGGAGAUGUUGAUAUGUGAAUAAAAAAAAGUUGGGCUAAUGCUCAAUCUCUCAUAUAAGUCAUAAUAAGGGAUCCCUUAGUGGAAGGACCAUGUAUAUAUAUAUAUAUAGACACACAUACAGAUUCCAUCAAGACCGGAGCAAUUAGGAGAUUAUGCAUACAUGCAUGACAUGCACCUCUAAUUAACUCCCUCAUAAAUUUUGAAUGAAGAUGUACUUGUUGAGAUUGGUGUUCAUUCUCAUGCAACUAGAAACCAUGCAAAAUGUGAUGCAACAAGUGAAUAUUUGCUGCAUCACCAAAGUCAAUAAUAUUUGUUGUAUCACAUUUUGCAGCAAAUAUUGACUUGGUGAAUAGGAGGCAAAAUGUGUUCAUUCUCAGUCUUCAAUGGUGUGCUCCUGCUUUUGUAAUAGGAGGGAAGAAAAAGGCUUUGCCUUUUUCACAUGAAUGGAUGUUGCUUAUAAAUUGGCUGCAUGGAAACCAUUUGAAGCAUGCAAGCAAGUUUGCAUCGAGUAAGCAUCAGACAAGCAAUAAAGAGCUUGUGGGUUGUGCAUGAGAGUGUGAGAGAAAAAAGUGCUAAGAGAGAAAUUCUCUUAGGUGAGAUAUAGGGUUCUUGGGUAUUCUAUGAGUUAGAGCAAAUGCACCCAUUUUAGGUGUGUUGGUCCGAUUUUUAACCCGGGUUAAUACACUAUUGAUCUAAAUCAGUCUUUGGCCCUCGAGUCGACAAUACAACAAUUAGAUCAAUCCAAAGACCAAUUGCUAUGUACGUUGUAGAAAAAAUAUUUUUAUAUUGACAUUUGUAUUGUUUUGGACCAACACCAUAUGCAAAAUGGUGUGUGUAUGGGCCCCACAUUUAUAUUGGUCCGGACUAAUCCGUAGGUUGAGGAUUACCCCAUGUAUUGGUCUGGUUAGGUGGGCUUCACAUAAGACCCACGUCUAACCCGGACUAAUUCCUCACCGGUGGAUGAUGUUUUUUUAUCCGACCUUCGAUCCAACCCCCAAAUUGCACCAUUGUUGCAUUUGCUCUGAGUGAGGGUGUACAAGGGUUUGAGAUUUGGGUUAUGAGAUUUAACUCAUGUAUCUUGUACUAGUUUUACUCUCAUAGUAAAAGAGCAAUAUCUUGGGGUGGAAGUAGGCACAAAAUUUGCCGAAUCACAUUAAAUCUCCUGUUAACUGUCUUUUCAUCCUUGUUUAUUAUUUUGCUUUAUUGUGGUGUUAUCGGGUAUAUCUGUUUCUGAAUCUCGGUUCGUUCGUGGGGUUAAAAUCCCAAUAAUAUUGUGAUAAAUUAAGGAACAUAUAUAGGAUUAGGAAUAUUUUAGAACUGCACAGAUCACUCCCAACAAUCUCCCAGCAGAUCAGUUUACCGAUCUCUUACAUUCCCCAAUAUUCUGUAACCUUCUCAUUAAGUACCACCAGUUGCUUCCUAAUCGAUCGAUGACUUGUAAGCCACUGCAUGCUGGGUGAUGCUGCUCUUUAUUUGUUUGCUGCGGCCCUGUGAUUGAUAAUUCAGAAAAGCCUAACUAUAUUAGGUAGAGCUCCAUCGUAAAAAGAAACUAUAUAUUAGCUGCAUAUCCAGUAGAGACGUACACCUUCACAUAUUAAAGAUCGGUGGAGGUGACAUGCAUACACUACCCUAUAAAAUUUAUAUAGGAUUGUCACCGGUGCAAAUGAAUGCAUCAUUACCCAUGAGAUUUGGUCCGGUACGUGGAAAGCAUGUUGGUCUGUUUAUUGGGCGAAUAUUACAGUGGCACUUCUGGUAAUAGGAGGUCACUGAUUCGAUCCUCUGCAAGUGAAGAACACCUCAUGAGGAGAGGCCAUACCGAUGUUGCUCCCGGCCUCGGAGUGGUAGUCCCACCCGCCCACCAUUUUUUGUAACCAUAAAAAAAUGAAUGCAUCAUUAAUCCAUUAUCCAUAUAUACUGAGAUGCGGGCAAGUAGAGUAGUCGAUCGAAAAGCUGCUAAGCCAAAACCCUUGAAUAUCUUGAUCGAGAAGGGAUAUAGAAUUAAUUGUUGUAUUUGUAAUAUCAAACUAGUCAAAUACGCUGAGAAUGAUCUAUACCAGAAUCUGGAAAAAGAAUACAAGUUUAGUCCACAUGAUCAUGAGAGAUAGAAGUGGUGAAGCACCAGUCACAGUUGCUGCUUGAUCACUACUCAGUCUGCAUCACCUCACCCACUUCGAUCCAUACAUACAUAUAGGCAGACCAUCUAUAUUAAGAUCGGGCAGUCUGAAUUGGCGCCGACCAAUCUAGAUAGUAGUCGAUCGUCGGUGCUCGAGAAAAUAUUGAAGAAUAUUAUACACGUACGUACAGAAGCAAAAUAUAUAUAUAUAUAUAUAUAAAAGGUUUGGCUGCUAUACAUAUUUGUAUAGUAUACAUCAAACUGUGAACCGUCCGAUCAUUUAACAAUUUAAAAUUCAAGACGACGAUUUUUCUUUUAUAGCCGUUGUGACUUUGAUUCAACAUGCAGGUGAGAUACAAAACAAUUUAUGUCAAUGCAUAAAGGUGUGACUCAUCGAUCAAUCAGCUUCUACAGACGAUCGUGAUACUUUUCGAGCAAAUUUCACAUAAAAUAGGGCUAGCCUAGCGUUAUGCAUGUACAUAUAUUAGUACGUGUCUGCAUGUGUGAAGCCAAAUAUGAGGGUUUGUAACCAGUGGCUUAGCCAGCAAACUAAACUAGGAAUAUCAGAACUUAAUAGCAAUUAUACUUAACAAAAAUAAAUUUUUCAAUCUUUUACUCUAGGGCACAUAAUUGUCCAAUCCUUUUGCAUGAAAGGAGCUAGUAUCGCCUAAACCCUUACCCAUUCCGCCUAAACCCUUGCCCAUUCUUCUUUGGAACGUGGGUCUCUGUGGAACAUGUUGUCGAUCUGCUAUGGUGUUAGGCCGACCUCUGCUCCAGUUAUCAUUAUGAUCAUGAUGACUCUACUGCCUCUUUUUGUGUAACGUCAUUUAAAUUCAUGUUUCAUGUUUAUCAUUAUGAUCAAAACCCACUAGAUAAGGAAAUUCAAACAUGGUUUAAACCCACAGCAAAAGCAGAUAAACACGAAACUUGAAUUUAAAUGAUGUUACACAAAAACAAGUAGUAGGUAACGAUCAUAAUGAUAACUGGAGCAGAGGUCGGCCUAACACCAAAAAAAAGAAAGAUAUGAUACUUUAUUUGUUUACUAAAGUAUAUAGGUAUGAAAUAGAUGAGAAAGUCCCGUGAUGAUUUAAGUCUUAUACCAGACGGUCUCAUUAUAAUGUACAGUAUAAUAAACCUCAUCCUUGUUGACAUGUUUCAACUCGAGGGUUUUAUCAACUCGGUCAACCGAUGUGUGUGCUUAUGUGAUGUUGAUGAAAGCGCACACCAACAAUGGUUGAUUCUUAUAUAUGGUUACUUUAACAGUGUUUCAACUGAUUGUAAAUACUAAAGAAGGUUGGAAAUGGUACGUCGCAAAUAAACAUGAAACAUGAAUUUGAAAUCAUGUUACACAAAAUGUGACAGCGUAGAGAAAACAUCAUAAUAAAUAUUGAAAAAAUGUGAAAUAAAAACUUAAAGAAUAUGCUAUUUUGUUUGUUUACUAAAGUUUACAUGUACGAAAGAGAUGAGCAAGUCCCCUGAUGAUUCAAGUCAUAUACGAGAUAGUCUCAUUAUAAUGCAAAGAAGAUAAACAAUACAGAAAAAAUUGUUCACAUUCAUGCAUCAUCAUUGACAUUUUCUUAAAAAACAUCUUUCCUACUCUUAUACUUUUCAGACACUCAUUGGAAACCUCUUCCAACACAAACUAAGACAUUUUUAGAUGUUCACAAAUUGACACACCAAAUUCACAAAAGAUAUAAACUUUCAAACCAAAUAGAAUCAAGAGUGCGGUUAUUGGGACAUCCAAAUUUGCUCAGUUGACCUCAUUUUAUUAUGAGUUAUUGAAUGUUAGAUGUGUCCUCUUACUUACAUAAUGAUUAUUAAGGACAAUAACAAAAAGAAGUAAUAUAUUUAUUCUCUCUACACUUUCCAAUUCAAUAAAAAAUAUUGUAUUAUUUAUUAUUUUCCUUAUGUAUUUUCAUUUUUUAAUUUUACUACAUAUUAUUAAAGCAUUUAUUUAUUUAAGAAGAGCUAAAACUCUUUUCUUUUCUUUUUUUUCUUUUUUUAAAAAGUAAAGAGCUAAAACUAUGAUUAAUAUCGAUCAUUUGACAUAAAAAAUUAUGUUAUCAUACAUGUUAGAAGCAUAUACAUUAUACAAGAUGCACAAACAUAUUUGCAAAAAAAAAAAAAAUCGAUUAUAGUAAAAUUAAACAACUAUUGAAAUAAUAUAUCAUGAAUUACAUAAAAUAGAGGAAGAAAAAAAAAACAUACAUAGAGAAAAAAUGGUUAUCCUUGUUAGAAAAUUUUCUUGUUGACAAAAAUAAGUUUAUGAAAGUCAAUACCUUGUGUUAUUUGAUUUUUUAAGAGAUUUAUGUUCUUUCAUAAAGGAAUGAAAUUAUAAUUAAAAUAUAUAGGUGUAAUGAUUAAUAUAUUAAAAUAUAUGUGAAUAAUAUAAACAAGGUUAUUUUAUAAAUUUGAAUAGAGGUCUAGUGAGAAAAUACAUGUAUUUAAAAGUAAAAUGGAGGUGUGAAAAAUAUGAGAGAUACACUGAGCAAAUUCGAAGGUCCCAAUAAUCGCACUCUAGAAUCAAAAGGUUACCAUCUAGUUAAAAAAACUAAAAAAACAACAUGACAUAAAUGAAUCGAAACCAACUGUUCUUACCUCUUUUGGUUCGAUGGUGGCGCUCUCGGGUCUUGGAUUCUUUCUCUUUCCAAGCACAUCUCCUUUCUUAUCCCAAAAUUUGAGAAUAAACACAUCUUUCUGAUUCCACCCAUUGCUUUCAUCACAAUCAUAAUCGUCACUGUAACAUGCAUAAGGCCCAGUUGUUAGAUAAAUCAUUCACCUCUCCCAAAGCACCAAAUGACAAGUAACAUUCUGAAUUUGAAACAUAUGGCAACUAAGUCUAUUGAUUUGGAUCAGAAGUUAGAACUAUCAAAUCACAAUGUUUAUGCAACCUUGUUUCUUGUUUUAUGUAGGGCACCACACCAUCCAUCAGCACCAAAACCCAAGCAGGGUCCAGAUUAGAAAGAUGGUUCCUUUAAGAAAGUGUGUCACUUAUCUGGCCGAGAUUUGGAUUCAAGAAGUAAUUUUUGAAGCGUAAGAGCGCGUGCAGCUGCUCCACCUAAAUGCCUUGCCUGGCUUUAUGCUCCCAGCCUGGCUGGUGAAGAAGUAGGGACUUUUAAUGGAGGAGUUACUACUGUAUCUCAUCAGUCAGAAAUGCUCAAAAGAGAAAUAAUUCUGAAAUGAAAACUAUAUAUGCCGCCCUUCCCCAUGCCUUACAGUUUUAUUUUUAUGUCCAGUGUUCUCGCGCCGCCCAAAAGGGAAACGAAUUUGGAUCUAAUCAAUCGAUUGGGAGUGGAGAGCCUUAGAAGGAGGAGGAGCCAAAGAGAUAAGCACAAAUUAUUUUAAACUUUUCAUUAGUAAGAAUUGAAGUUGAUGCAAUCAAAAAGUCAAAAUUAUAUGUAAUAUUGCAGAAGUUGCUAACCUUGAGCAAAAAACUUGUUUGCUACUCGUUUGCUAAAAGUUCAGGACGGAAAGUUGCAAUGCCUUGUAUUUGAGUGAGUUGUAUAAUAAAUCAAGAAUGUCGUUUAAGAAAAGGAGUAAGAACGAUGUUGUUUAAGAAAAAUGUCAACAAGGAUGAUGUACGUUUAUAAUGAGACCUUCUGGUAUAUGACUUAAAUUAAUAGGGGGCUUGCUCAUCUCUUUCAUACCUAUAUACUUUAGUGAACAAACAAAAUAUCAUAUACUUCAAAUUUUUAUUUCACGUUUUUCCAGUUAUCAUUCUGAUCAUUACCCUUACUGCCUCUUUAUGUAUAACAUCAUUUAAAUUCAUUUAAAUCAUGUUAUACAAGAAUUACUUGUUUACGUACAUACAAUUGUUAUCAUAUCGUAUAGGCCUAUUCAUUUUCUAUUUUUCCUAACAAAUUAUUAGCAUAUACAUAUACGUCUAGAGGCAGAAGCAUGACCAAGACACGCAAUAUGGUUUAUCUUGUGAAGACAUGUUAAGAUACAGGUGGGACGAAUGAAUUGGAGGUUUUCCUUGUUGUAAGUAGACUUUUCAUUCGAACCCCAACUUGGAAAAAAACAUUCUUUGGAAAUUGGCCAUAAAAAACAAAGAAAUCACUUUAGACGGCUAAACACUGUCGUCAAAUAUGUAACUAGGUCAACCGUCGUCUGUUGAGGCGUCGAUUGAUGAUGGUCACACUUAAAACCGUCGUAUAAUGGUUGUGGACAAAUGUAGACGUAUGACUUUCAUUUAGAUGACGAUAUUUUUUUUAUAGCCAUUGUGACUUUGAUUCAACAUUGCAGGUGAGAUAUAGAACGAUUUGUGUCAAUGCAUGAAGGUGUUACUCAUCGAUCAAUCAACUUCUGCAAGACGGUUGUGAUACUUUUGGAGCAAAUUAGACAUAAAAUAGGGCUGGCUUAGCAUUACGCAUGUACAUAUAUUAGUACGUGUAUGCAUGUGAAGCCAAAUAUGGGGGUUUGUAGCACUGGCGGAUCCAGCCCCAGGCUCACCUGGGCUUAAGCCUAGAUGAGUUUUCAAUCAUUUCACAUCUAAUUUUAAUAAAGGCUUGAAAGAUUACCGUACUUCUAAUGCACGCAGCUUAAUCUUAAUCAAGCCUAUUUUAUUUUUUUCAUAUGUGAUGUGAAGGUUUUUCCUAAUUCAUAAGUAUAGAUGCGAAGGCUCUAUCAUACUUUUUUAGAUGCUGUUCUUUGUAGGGGGGUUCUUCCCUACUUCUUAAUUAAGCUACUUCACAUCUAAUCUUAAUUGAUUAAGGCUUGAAGGAUUACCCUACUUCACCACACCCUGAAUUAAGAUGCUAAAGAGCAGUGACUAGCAUUUUCUCAAUUCCUAAUAUCAAUGGCCCUCUGUCCGUAUUUACACUUUCUCAGCCCUAAAUUCAUAAUCGCGACUCUCAUUAACUUCAUUUGUUGGUCGUCCACAACUUCUUUGUGAUCAAGGAUCGCCAUCAGUGAGUCUUUGUCCCAAGCUAACUCUCUAGAAUUUACCGGUUUCAGUGGAGAAGAGAGAAGAAAAUAUUCAUCUCAUUGCCCAAUUUCAUAUGUGAACUACUUGUAUAUUCGUAAGUAGUUUAGUAAGUAGAAUCUUUGAAUCAAUUUGUUGAUUGUGAAUUUGUCGUGGGCUCAAGUGCAUAUCAUUUAUGAAUGUCUGAUGAAAAAAGUGCUUCGCACGGUCGAUAUUCGUGAAAGUUUUUUGUUGUUACAAGUAGCCCGAAUACCUUUUUCAUCCUAGAUCCGCCACUGGUUUGUAGGCUUGUAGCUCUAGUUGUUAAGAACAUUUACCUUUAUAACUCCAAAUGGUUACUCUUAUAAUUUCAGGAGUUUUCCCACCUAGCUGGAAUGCCAUAUAAUCGAUCGUAAAAGAAGCUCAGUAGUGCAGCAGAAGAUUGAGACUUCAUAUGACUUAAUUCCUUUCCUACUGAUCAUGACAAUCUGAGAAUGUGCCAUGUGAAGGUAGACAAGUUCUUUGGUUUUUGAAGGUGAAAUACAUGGCAUAUACAUUGCAUCCACAUUAGAGUACGUUGUUUUUUCCCAUCCAUAAGGUUUCAUAUAUCUUUUUUUUUUUCAUAAGGUUUCAUAUAUCCUUUUCUUUUGGGGCAAGAUUCCUACCCAUCACCAUAUAUAUCACAUGCUUUCAACCGGACAUGACCAGCCUUUUAUAAUAGCUAACUUUGCUUCGAAGUAAAACUCAUACAGUGUGAACUAUUCCAAUUUCGAUUACUCAAUUUUCUUCACCAUAAAUCUUUACUAGCCAUCAGAAUUCAGAAUCAAGAUGAAAUAUUAUGUUUUCGUGCAAGAAAAAUAUAUCAAAUUUAGUUAUAUCAAUUUUAAUCAUCAAUUCUUGACGUUAUGAAUUUAAAUCUUAAUCAUACUUAAUGUUUAAUGCUUGUUUAUUUAGCAUGAAUGAUCUAAGAUUGCUUUUGCACUAAUAAGAUGGUGACUUCUCAUCGAUCCUUUACACGUACGCCCCUUUCUUUAUUAUGUACAUGUACAUAACAAGAAGAUAGAUACCACCGAACCUGCAGGUAGCUCCAUUUUUCAACAUCCAACCGCCAUAUAUAAUGCCGUCCUUCUUCGAUCCAUCAUUGACUUGUCCAGGGCUCCAAGCCGGCCAUGUGGUUCUGAUUAAUGAGAUCCAUUGUACAAUGUGUUCCUCCUACCCAAAUAUAUUUGAAGUUAAAGGCUACUCCCCUCAUUCACAUGAUCGUUCAUUUUCAGGAUUGUAUAUAUAUGAAUCAUGCAGCUGCUUGAUGGCUCGCACAUGGACCACGAAACAAUACUGCUACUGGAAAUGUGGAAGACUAGCAGUACGUACGUGCUGCUGCAGCAGUGAGACUCCACAGAACAAAAUGGGACUGUGAUCGCAAUGCCACACAGAGAACAAUCCCCGUGAAUUAAGCUCCAGAAAGAUGUACAAUUCUUGGUACAUAUAAGGGUGGGUACGUGAAUUUAAGAGAGUAGAAAGUGAAGAAAAUUCCUCAAAAUUUUACUUACGUUCAUGUGUCAAGGCACGCGUCAAGAUGCCCCGACAACUCCAUGUACGUGUUUGUGCGAAAAUCAUGAAAAUGACUCCAAUAAAGGUAUGAGAUGUGUUUAAGAAAUUGUCUCAAAGACGCUGAGGUAAAGACGACAACAUAAGUAAAGUUAGUCUAACAUGCAGACUCCAUUCAAGAGAGUAAUCAAGAAAGAUAAGCGAACAACAAAUUCUGGUGCGGACUUGGUCUUCUCUGAGACUAAUGAGUAAUGAAUUUUCACAACUUUGAAUUAAGCUAGCAGUUAUUAGGUCGGAGGUGUGCAAGUCAAGAAUAUCGGCAUAAACGUCGCUAUUGAUUCAUGUAGCUCUAUCUCUGGCUAGUUGUUGUGAAUCAAGUUAUUGAAGUAUCUAUAUAUCUUUGCUAAUGGUUUUAUCUGAGGAGGCAUCACAUGCAUGCAUGGCUCUUGGCUCAUGCUGCUGGGAUGGUUGCCUCACUUGCCUGGUUGGUAUAUAUCUUGGUCCAUAGUACAGUAUUAUAUGUAGCUAGCUGAAGUCUAGAACGUUUGAAGGAGUCGUUUUCUCAUCUGGUCCAGUGAUAUUGGGAGUUUGUGAAUUGUGAUAAUCUUUCUGACAUCUCAAUCAACUGUGGUGGCCGGAACAGAUGGAGAAAUCUGGGUGUAAUGGGCCACUCAAGCCCCCAUUAUAUAUAUAGCUCAGGCAAGUACUGCAGAUAAUAGAAUGCGAUACAUCAUAUGUUGCUUGUUCCUUUAUGGAAGUGUAGACAAUGGAUUGUGAUGUGGUAUAGCGUGCUCCGUCACUUUCUUCAAUUGCUCUAGCGUCUACCAUUAGCAGAUUAUAUAUGUUACAGGCUAGGGAUCGGAAGAAGAAGAAGAAGAAGAUAGGGAUCGAGCUUAUGGGUUUACAGGUAAAAGCUAGACUGAUGAUCAUCAUCAGUAGUAAAUGGAAGUAGGUUUUCAUAAAAUGAAGAUUCCUACGUAUGUCUACAAACAAGAGAUCGAGUGUUAAUCUCUACCUUUUUAGGUUACCAUGAUUAGAUUAUAAAAUGGACUAGAGUAUAUGUCUACAAACGAGAGAUUGCAUGAGAAUGUUAAUUUCCGUUCUUACAUGUUACUAAUCUAGAAUUCUCUCAAUAAUCAAAGCAGUUCAUUCUAUUAGUUUCUUUUAUUGCACAUAUUCAAAAAACUAAAAAGGAAAUUGAGUGAAAACAUAAUGAUAAACAUAAGUUUGUUUGGGUUUCAAGAAACAAGGUUAGUGUUUGAAUCAAAACACUAAUUGGGAAACCUAGCUAGGUAUUGCCAUUUUUGUUUAUCAACCUUGUGAGUUGUGACUUUGUGGUAGUCUCUCAUGUUACUCAAACUAUACUAUAUGUAACCAAGUGACUGAAAUUUAUUGUGUAUGUACUAAUAAUGUUUCGUAUUUUCAAAUAAUUCUAAAGUCACUUUUCGAAAAGUGAAAAAAUGGAAAAUGAUAUUAAAUCGAGAAGGAUAAAACAAUAAACAUUUGUUGCAAAGAAGUUGUUAAAGUUUGUCUAUCGAGUCUGAUAGAAGAUAAACAAAAUUAUUGAACGAGCUAAUUAAAUUGAUUUUGUUAAAGCGUAGCGUAUCAUUUUAGCCAUAAACAUAUGUGAAAUACAAAUUUCAUCAUUUAUAAAAUGAAAUUAGUCAAUUCUUAGGUAUGCAAUUAAAGACUUCGAAUAUUCCACUUGGUUUGCCAAAAUCCUAAUCCCUUUUAUCUUUUGCGGUUGGUUGGAGGUUAGUCGUUGAUCUUUCGUGAAGGGUGUGCAAUUACCAAAAAUCAUGAAAGUCUUUUAAGUAGGUCCAAUUAUAUAUGAUUUUGAUAUAGUAGGACCAUAUAAUCAAAUGUAUGGCUUUCAAUUCUAGUCUAGUAAUGAUUAUUAGUGAAGCAAAAACUUUUAAGAUACCAUUGAUGAAAAAAGAUUGAGAUAAGAGCAACUCUUUAGCAAUACAUAAGAACUAAAUUUAAUGGACAUCUUAUUGCGCAUAGAUAAAUAUACCAAUAUACUUGAGUUUUCUAUUAAACUCGAUUAAAGUAUAUUGAGUUCAACCGAUAACUUUACGUUUUGAGAUUGUUUCAGUUUAAGAUAAUUAUAAAAUAAGACCGAAUUUGAGCUUUAAAGCUUUAGAAGUGUCAAUACAUGAAGUUAUAAACAUAAGUGCAUAACCUAAGGAUUAGGAAAGUCGGUUGGCCAUAAAAAUCAUGUAACAAGUCGAAGGACGAUGAUGACAAAUGCAACUAAAUCAUGUGCCUUUUCUUUUGGUUUUGAUAAUUUUGUGAAUGCCAAAUGGUCCACCGUCACAUGUUUCAGGUCGGAACACAUGGGCCGACGUCAAUGGUGAAAAGCCCUCGUCAAUCUCUGACACUCCACCAAAGCGUAUGAAUACGAAUUAGAACCUGCAUCGAAGUAGACACGGCGUUACAUUACAAGUAAUUGACAUUAAAACUUUAUCCUAUGGUCUAGGUUUCAUUUUUCGGGUAGAAUCGUUGAUAUAAACUACGGAGACAGUUUGGAAGCAGGAAAUUAUAGAUUCUCCUAAGUAUUAUGAUUCGAGAUCAACAUUAUCAAUGUAGACUAGGACAUGAGUUAGUGUCGCCAAGUGAAGUUUUUGCGAAAUCGACCGUUUUGAUUCACAAUCUAUAAAUGAAAUAGAGUUGUAAAUAGAUUUUAGGUCACUCGAUUUUACUCUAUCAUAGGUUUGAAACUUGCACAUGCAAAGAAUGUCUAAGUUGAAUUUUUCUUUUAGUGAUCCAGGGCUAGUAAAACUUACUCCUCAG